rnacentral:lncRNA from 1 species
UGUUGAGCCUAAGCCACCAGAUCCUUCAUGGAUCACCUCACACCAUACUUCUUCAACUUAUAAAUACUUAACUCAUUCAUAUCUUUAUUUUAAAUCAGUUAAUGAAGUUAAGAUUUAUUCCUUUUCAGGUAGUAGUUGGCCAGAUGAUUAUUUAUCAUGGGAAAGAACCAUGGAUGAUUGGUUUUCAUACCAAGGCGUGCCAAAGAAGGAGAGGCUAGCUCAUGCCAUCAAGCAACUUUCCGGAAAAGCUUACUCAUGGUGGAAAAGAGUAGAUAAGACACAUGGUAAAAGUCCAGAAGAGGUUGUCACCAACUGGAAAGAUCUUAAAGAUGUUAUGAUCAGGAAGUAUGUGACUACACUUCCCACGCAAGAAACCAGAAGAAAAUACCCAAGGAGAUUUUCAAAUGGUGUGUCCAAAGAGGCAAAGAAAGUUGUGCCACAACAAGGCCAUAGGAGCUUGAUUUAUCAAGACCAGAUUCGGCCAAGCCAGAUGCCCACGGUUUUAUAUGAUAAAUACCAACCUUAUGAGGUCCCAAAGUCCAUGGAGAAGAACCUUUUCAGCCCAGACACAUUGGCUAGACACAAAGAAAAAUCAGACAAACCAAUUCUUCAAGGAAAGGCCAAGGUAAGUCCUAUACUUGAUAAAUUUGUUUAUAACUCAUCUCCCACUAGUAUGAGUCACUUGUCUUUGUCCAAGAAUGUUAAGACAGGUCCUGAGGUCCAGAAAGACACGAACUCAACAUCCUUGUUGGAAUCAAAAGCUGUCCAUGACUUAAGGAAUAAAGAGAUUCCAAGCCCAAAGAAAGAAGAGACAACAAGCCAAUGUAAGUCUUCUAACUCUAAAAAUUUAAAAGAUCAGACAUGUUAUAGAUGUCAUAAAAGAGGACACUUUGCUGUAGUUUGUCCAAGUAAACAAGUAUUGAUAGAGACAUCACUAGAAAAGAAAACAGAUUUAUCUUUGAAAAGUGAUAGUUUUAUUCAAUCUGAUUUAUUGGUUCCAAAUUCUUGUAUAAUGCACUUGUCUUUGUCAAAGGGUGUUGUAACAGGACUUAAGGAGCAAGAAUUUAAAGAAGAAGAACCACCAGGCGUGACUCUUGUGAUGGACCAGAAGAUUGUUCAAGAGACAAUGCAGUCCAUAUUGCUUAAAGAAGCAAAACCAAAACAAUACCAAGGUAAGGCUUUAGAAUCUCAAAAGAGAAUGAAAGCUGACUUGCUCUAUCUUGGUGCAGGUUAUAUAGUUUCGAGGUCGAAACCUUGUCAAGAGGGAGGGGAUGUUGUGGUCACGAAAUCCAUGGUUCAACCAGAGUCUCACCAAACCGUCCAAACCGGCCAUCUAGGAGGUACCAGCGACCGAGGUUCAGUCCAAGGCGUAUAUCUCUACAACCAGAAGGACUUUCAACAUGAAACCAAUUUUAUUGGAUUCUACACUCAAGAAGGAGUCCAGCCCAAUUGGAAUCGAGCCAAAAUAUUCACGGAGCAAGAAGUUAUGAAUUUUACAAGUCAGAGGUUUCCCAGCCCGUCCAUCUGCGAGUACCCGAUUUUAGAAGGAGAUUCCAGCCCAAGGAAGGAGCGGCCUGAACCAAAGCCCAUCAUAGGAUUCAAGAGUAGUUUAUCAGCUUUCCAGAAAGCCCAAGAUCAGGAGAAAUGGCCACGGAAUUAUGAAGUUAUGAUCCAAUCUCCAAAACCGGUCAAACCAGUUCUACACUUGCCUCAAUUGGAAGCUAACCGGUUCAAUCAGCUUCAAACCAGACAUUGGCGACCAGGAGAUCAUUUCAACCAAUCAGGAGAUAUUCUAGGAGUCCAGGAGGAGUUCUGCAAGUUCAUACCAUGCACCAGCAACCAUUGGAUCAUGAGGAUCCUCAUUUACUCAAACCUGCCUUAUUUGGAGCAAACCGACAUUAAUGUCCAACAGCUCUUUUCUCUUCAGAUCAGGCACGAGAUCAGAACCUAUAAAGCACCCAGGAAGGUCCCAAGGAAGCUCUAUUAUCCAUAAAAACCGUCUAGGUUCAAGAAGAAUCAAGUUUCUCACUUGGAGCCAAAAUCCCAUAAAAGGCUCCAACGGCUAGUUUUUUCGAUUUUGUUACUUUGCUUGAUUUGUUUCCUUUUCUAUUUGUUUUAGAACGUUAGGACCUUUGUCUCUGAGCCUUAUAUAAGCUCCUAGACGUCCAUUGUAAAGAGCACCCUUAAUCACCAAGUUAAUAAAAAGUUUAUUCAGUUUUUAUCAAAGAUUGUUCUUUGUAUAAAAUAUCGGUCUUUAGGAUUCAAAGAGAGAUUCUUUGUUGUCUUAUUGAUUUCGUGAGUCUAGUUUGUUUGUGCAAAUCAAACAAGCUCAGUACACAGAUUGAGAGAGUCAAUCACUUCGAUCCAUCAUUCCAUCAGAUUGAGAGAUUCAAUCAAACCUUCCUCCGCAAAUCCACUUCAGUUCAUCUUCUAAUCAAGCUGAGAGUGAUACACAUCCAGCAGCUUGAUUCCAUCCUAUCCUUUGUUUAUUUAUCUUGUUUUAUUAUCAUUAUCAUCAUCAUUUCAUUCGUUUUCAUAUUUGUUUCUGUUUGCAUCAUAAAAACUCUAAACUCAUAAAAAUCGGUUCUCUUUGUUUUCAGGUUUAAACCUUGGUUCCACCAUUUUUAUCAAUUCGUGGGUUACCCCCCCUGUGCCUACAACAAACUUUGUUCAAGUGUUGUACGUCUUCAUCAAACCAUCUCUCUUUGUAAUUCUUUGGAUUUCAAAAAAAAAGUCGUGAAUCAUUUUUUCAAAUUAUACAAGUGACAUGAUAUACAACUAACUUUUCUCCUAAACAACAUCAUUGUAACCAAAUUUAAUUUAAGAAAAACACUAUUUCACAAUACUGAAAACAAAACCAAUCAACUUAUACAAGAAAUCCCACAUUGUAAUAAAGCAAUUCAUAGUUGUGUGUAAUAAAAAAAGAAAACUAAAUCAAAACACCACCAGAGCUCGAAUCGUCAUCGCUGAAGCUGAAGUCGUCAUCGCCGGAGCUGAAGUCGUCAUCGCCGGAUCUCGAAUCAUCAUCACCGGAGCUCGAAUCAUCAUCAGCUCGAAUCGUCAUCGCUGAAGCUGAAGUCGUCAUCGCCGGAGCUGAAGUCGUCAUCGCCGGAUCUCGAAUCAUCAUCACCGGAGCUCGAAUCAUCAUCGUCGGAACUCUUUAUGUUUUCUGGGGAAAAAGUCACAAGAAUCGCUUUCUUCUCACUCUCUCUCUCGUUUUUUCAGGUAAAAUAAGAAAUGAAAAAAAAUGAGGGUCCAUGUAAUCCCGCAUGACCCGUUUCGGCCCAUCCAGCAAAAGGUCCAGUCCCGCAAAGACCCGUCUUGCGAGGCCCGCAAAUUUACGGGCUUAGAAAACAUCGUCCCAAUACCGUCUCGUGACAGUCCUUUACGGGUAAGGUCCACGGUCCAAGUCCAUCUCCAUGAUUGCCAUCUCUAAUAGAACGGACAGACCAAGUGGAAUAUUCUGCACACCAUACUUAACUUUCAAUCAAGAGGUUAAACAUAGUAAUGUCUUACAAUAAGCGACAAAAAUGUGGAUUAAUAAUUUAUAAUCGCACACAACUAAAUAUAAAUUUCUCCACUAGAAGUCACUAGGGACCUGUGAUGUGAACGUGUUAUUUUCUAGACUUUUCUCACCUACCUACAUCGGCGAAAAACAACUCAUAAUAUUACUAUCUCAAUUGCUGCUUUUCUUUUUUUGAGCAAUUCUAUCUCAAUUGCUGUAUGUUAACUUAAUAUGCUGUGAUGGUGAAGGUGUUGUUUCCGAUGAAAUUAAGAAACGGAGGGCAAAUCGGCUAGGAAAAACAGGAAAAACAAGUGGUAAAGUUGGUUUUGGUACAUGGAUAUACUUUUAGCUUAUUAAAAUUUCAGAUAUACAAAAUGUUGUAAAAUGAAUAUUUUAGGUCUGAAUAUUUCUAUGUUUCAUUAAUGAAUAAGUGUUCUCUUAUAUAGGGGAUUACAAAAUAAGUAAUAAGGAAAGUAUCUAAAACCUAAAUCCAAUAGAAUUAUGAAAACUACUAAUAUAUAAUAAUGGAAAGAUAACAAUUACAAGGAAAAGAAAAGAUGGUUUCCUUUUCUCCAAGCCGCCUCUCUCUCCAUGUCAUGGCCGACUCUCUCUCUCUCUCCAAGUCGUGGCCAACUCUCUCUCUCUCUCCAAGUUGUGGCCAACUCUCUCUCUCUCUCCAAGUCGUGGCCAACUCUCUCUAGUUGUAUGGGCCGGUUAUGGACCGGGCCGGUUAUGGACAUCCACUAAUUGAUUUAUAACACUCCCCAUUGGAUGCCAUAACCAUUCAAGAUUGUAGUACGCUUCAUGUUGCCUCAUUAAAACCUUAUCAGGAAAACCCAGUGGGACAAAACCAUGAUGAAGGAAAAAGAGUACAACACGUACUACUCCCCCUGAUGUGGACCUCAGUGGAGGUUUCUUCAGUCUACGCAUCUGGUGCAUGAUAUUUCCUGAACGUGCAGGUAGGGAGUAAACAAAUCGGCCAAGUUCAUUACUGAACCGCAAUUGGAUUACUUUGACCUUUCCGGUCUCUUCUCAUGUCUUCUGACAUCGUGUGUGUGUGGUCAAGAAGUGGACCUUUGGCUGUUGACUACUCUUAAUUAGGUCGGACAGACUAAACACACUGUGGACAAUAUAUAUACUGAGCAUGGUACUUAUGAACUUAUAGUCUCAGGUCGUAAACCUAUGUUCCGGUGUAUCUACUACACGGAUGUGUACCAAUGUCUCUGUCCAUAGAUCUUUCUUUAUUAUCAUCGACUAUGCACUAAUCUGAUCGAUUCAUAUUGAGUCAUAUACUGCUUCUAUACAUGUUUAUAACUUGUCUCAUGAGUGUUCUAGAUCAAGAUGUGAUCAAUGAUUAUUGCUAUAAUGAGUUUUAUAAUCUCAUCAAGCUAUGGCUCUUCGGCCGAACACACUCAUGGAUCUCGAUCAGUAAUCUCUCUUGCAUUCGGUAAUGCUAUUGCAGUCUUUUAUCCAUACCUUGAUGGUGUCCCAUGACCUUUGUUGCCGUGGAUCAUACCACGCACCGGAAGAUCUAUUAGGUCAUGGACCUCGACUGCACGAGCUUAUGGAUGGCAAUCAUGAUGGCUGAUCUUUCUUUUCCACUAGCCAUGAUCAAAGAAGAAGGGUCGGACACCUCUAGCCAGACACCCACACAGAUUUAAUAAAUAAUAUGUAUCAACCAAUUAACAUCUCUUUAGGCUGGUUUAGUAUAAAGUAAACACAAGGAAUUCAAAUCUCUUUUAUAAGUAUAUGUAUGGACUGAAUUUGGAUUGUCCUUAUACAAUUCCUUUACUAGUAUUACAUACUAUAUGCAGCUGAUUUGUUUCAAUCCAUGAACAGCUUAGGAACAAUACUGUUAUUUAUCCAGUGAUCCAUAUGAUGCUUACUACAUCAGUAUCUAAUUUCUUUCUUAUGACCAGACUUUUAUCAAUUUCGAAUUUGUGUAGCAGCAUCCACCACAUAGGAGUUUAUCUCCUUAUAAUCUGUUCCAUGGUCUAUGUGAGUAUCCUUGUGUAACAAGCUAUGAUCUAAUGCUGUUAGUAGGAAAACAUGAACACCUUUACACCUUGUGAUCAUGUACCAUCUCUCACGGUUUCUUAUUCCUCACAAGACCCAUCUAUUUCACUGGUUUAUCUGAUGGCGUUUCUGUAUAUGUGUAUGGCCAAUACGCCUAUCUCUUCUUUAGAUACUUUAAACCCCACGUUUAUCUUUUCAAUCUAAUCUUUAAUCUUUAUGAGUACUCUUUCGUGGGUUAAUGAUCCUCGUUUAUAUCUUUAAACUCAAGUGCUACUACUUUAUGUAACCUUAUACAAAUAUAACCCUCAUGUGUCGACACUUAUAUAUAUGUGUGGUUCUGUUGUGUUCCAGACAUGAUCUAAUCGAUUUGAGAUUUUAUUAUCCAGGACCUUUGUUACCUAGUAGCUUGGCGUCCCAAGCUACAUGGUUUGGUACCUUAGAUGUUUAGCUGCGCAGCCUUUUCUCAAUGUCUGGUAUGGUAUCUAUUUUGACCUCGGAUCUGUAUUUUAUGCACCUUUUCUUUCCGAGGUUUCUUAUCUUAUGGAACACUUUGGUCUAUCUUGUAUAGACUCUGUAGCAACUUGACUGUGUCUCUAGGACAUCAGAUUUCGUUUGGUGCUAAGCUGGUUAUAACUUAAUCAUUCUUUUCUUUUCUUUUUAGGUCAGUGUCUGGCAUCUAGAUUAGCUAGCUUUGUAUAAUCUUUGUUUGGACGUCUUAAAUCAUACUUUUAGUCUGAGGAUCUUGCCAAGACAAUGAUGGUUGAUACCAUUCUAUUUCUCUUAUCAUUCUUUUAAUCUUUACCAGCUUAUAACUUUCUCCUUCUAAUGUUGGAUAGUCGGAUUCAUUAAUCAUGCAAUCCGUGCACCUGGCCUCAAUCUGAUCACCCAUAUUUGGCUCAAGGUCUCUUAAAACUCGUGGGUGAAAGACAUACUUUUAUCCAAAAUAUAUUCCCAAUCCUCUUCUGAGGUUCCAUCUUAGACGGCACAUAUGUCUGUGGUGGUUUAUUCAAUAGCCUCUUAAGAUGGUAUAUGUCUGGCUCAUGACCCGUAUUCAAUCUGAGAUGGGAAUAUCUAUGCUCACUUAUAUGGCCUGAUGCAUAUUAACCUUAUAUACAUGUAAAACUCGUGAUGUCCCCAAGCUUAUAGACUUUAGAGUCUGAACCUUAUAGGUAAUAGCCUGUAUGGCCAAGCUGUUAUCAAGCUAUUAUAUCCGUGUUUAUAGUAUGGUUAUGGACCACGGGUUUGUCCUCACUCCCCCUCAUGAUCAUACUAUAAUCUGCAGAUGCUUGGGACAUUAUAGCCUAAUGAGUUUCCCUUGUGUACAUGUUACACAACGUGAGAUACUAUGGGAUAACUCUGUGUGCCCUUUUAAUAUCAAUCUUUUGCGUCAAGUUUAGACCAGGAUGGCUAAUCCGGUCAUGCCAUAUAGUGUAUAAUUUUGUGGGGUAUACCAAUUUGGUUACCAUGGCUUUUGCCUCUAUCAGACUGAUCUUUGCAUAGUCUAGAUCAGUAGAGGAUGCAGGUAUAGUUUCGAUCGCUCUUUGUUUCCUUUGCCCAUUGUUUCUAUAUGGAAACCAUUAUUUUAUAUCUUAUAAACUCAAUGGGCUUCUUUGGGUGGAUAUAGAGCAUUAGAUCUUUCAAGCAUGCGUGCUCUUUUUAGGCACCAAUGUACUUAGCCUCUUUAGGCGCCAAUGUACUUAGCCUAGCCGUAGCCCUUUAGGACAUUCUUUACUGGUCGCAGGCCCUUAUCUGACUGACUAUACCCGCAACAUUGCCUUAUAUAUUGGCGUUUUCUUAGUCAUAUCUAAAAUCAUUCAUUCAUCUUAUAAUAUAAGUUCUUAAUUCAAGAAAAUCACAGACAUAAAGCAAAGCAAACACAGAAGUCGAAAUCAACAUUAUUCUUUUUAGACAAUCAGAUGUUUUAGCCUAAUGAUUCCCCAUUACAUAUCUUAUGGCACACUAACUUGGUCGAGUGUGGUGGCUUAGAAAUGCCACGGCCUCCUCUCCCUUAACCAUGGUCAAAACUGGGUCCACAACCACGGUUAUAGUGAUUCCUAUGUCAAUGGUCGUAUAAGGUGGUUUGGCUAUGCCCACGUCCUUUCCAUCCAUCACGGUUACAGUCAUAUGGUUUAUCAUGAUGGACGUGGUUGCUUUCUUUAGAUUUUUUUUUCUGCAGCCUCAUUGGCUUGGGGAUGGCGAGUAAUCAUUAUUGCCCUGUAUCUAUUACUUUCACUUGCAUUAUUGUCCUCGAUGAUACAUUUACCGAAACCCUUUGAUUUCAGGACAAUCUAUGUGUCUAAUGCCCAUUGUAAAUAAUUAUCCAAAGAAAUUUAGGGUAGCAUAAUCUAGAUUGCUGAUUUUUGACAUCUGUAAUCAUAUAUCACUCAAUCUUUAUAAGAAAAUAAAUCGUGUAACCAAGUAAACAAUCGAGUUAAUGAAUUCCUAAUAAACAAGCCACGCGGCUAUGAUAGUAAGGUGCAAUAAAGGCCACAUGGCCAAGCUAUGAUGCAAACAAUCUAUGUUGAUCCAAUUAGGGUUUUAUCAUCUUAGCAAUACAAAAUGUGGCUAGGGUUUCAGAUUUUAUGAGAAUCAAAAUAAUCUAGCACCUUAGCUUUCAAGACAUCAAUUAGAUCAGUCAAAAUAACAAGAAUCAAACAUAAACUCAAUUUGGAUCAAUAUCAUGCGAUUUAGGGUUUCAAGGCCCUUAGGGAUUCAAAUUCGAGAUUUAGGGUUUCAGAUUCAAUAUGCAAUCAAUCUAGCUGACUUAACUCACAAUCAAUAGAAUCAAUCAAGCAAGCAAGCCUUAUGGCUAAGGUUUAUGCCUCACGGCAAAGAAGAAGCCACACGGCCAUGAGGAAGCCACACGGCCAUGAGGAAGCCACACGGCCAAAACAGGAAAACAAGCCGCACGGCUAAUGAUUCAAUUCAGGAUCAAUGCAUAUAUUUUGUUGUGUAAUUGCAAUCCUAGCAUAGAUGCAUUCUAUCAGUUUAUACAAUGUACUCAACACAAGCAAGCUAAUCGGCCAAGCAAAGAACAAUCAUACUUGAUUUCAAUUUCAAUACCAUCCUAACAUGAGAUUCUAAGUGCAAUUGCAAUCAAUCAAUGUGAUUAGGUUUAGGUAUGAAUGCAACAAGGCCACACAACCACAAGUAUGAUUAUGUCUAGAACAGUUUAACCUAAUCAUAUAGUUUCAGAUUUUGAUUUUUAAACAAUCUAAACUAGAUCAUUAGGGUUUUGAUUUAAACAAGCCAAUUACUUCAGAUUCAAGAUUCAAGUUUAAAUAAUCCUAAUCAUAGUUCUAGGUGAUCAAUCAAUCAAACAAAAAAUUUUAAAAUCCAAACAAUUAAAAUUGAUUUUUCAAAUUAGGGUUUUGGGAAUUUGAUUUGAUCUUAGAUCAAGGGAGUUUAAUUUUGAGAUUCAAAACCUUCAAGGUUCUGAUUUUAAUUGAUCAAUGGAUCAAAUCUCGAUUUUAGGGUUUGGAUCGAACUUAUAGAGCUUCGAUAUACUCAUAGGGUAUUGAUCUAUUAUCCUAUGGCUUUCAUCUUUUUAGAGAUUAUAUUAGAGGGUUUCAAUCUUUACAAAACAACCAGAUUCGAUUCAUGUUUUCAGAAUUCGAAUUACCUUUAGGUUUUGAAGAUUGUAGAACCGGACCACCAAGAGAACCUCGAGCUGGACGGGACGCGAGCUGGAACAAGCCUGGAACGCGGGCUGGAACGAGCUAGAACGGACGCGUGCUGAGGCACGAGCUGGAACGGAACGCGUCUGAUCGGGAACGCGAGCUGUAGUUGUCCGGGAUGUAAGCUGAGAACGGAUGGAGCUGAGGCUGAGUUCGUCUAGUAUCAGGAAUGCCUUAGGGCUGGGCUGAUAAUCAGGAAUGCCUUAGGGCUGGGGAUGAUCGGAUGAACACGAGCUGGAACGCUUGCAAGAACAGAUUAGGGUUCGGAGGGUUCGGAUUAGGGUUCCAAAGCAAAUCGGCGUGCACUGUAUCGGUGCGUGAGGGCGCGUCGGUGGUUAGAUCGAAAAACGGUUUGCACUGACUGAUUCGUCUUGGCAAGAGUUUCGAUUUGAUAUCUUGAUCGUUUUCUGGGUCCUCGCGGUUUGGGAGAACGACCUCUUUGAAGUUACGAGGUAAAUUCUUUUUGUUUAGGGUUUUAGGGGUUUGGUUUUAGGCUCAGGGUGUUAGAGACUAUCGUGCUGAUAACGUGUUGUAAAACGAAGGUUUUAGGUCUGAAUAUUUCUAUGUUUCAUUAAUGAAUAAGUGUUCCCUUAUAUAGGGGAUUACAAGAUAAGUAAUAAGGAAAGUAUAUAAAACCUAAACCCACUAGGAUUAGAAAAACUACUAAUAUAUAAUAAUAAAAAAAAAUUGUGUUAUAAAUCAAUUUUAUUGUGGUUCUCAAAAUUAAGAACCGAACUGAAACUCCACUACUUCUUAAAUGAAUUAAAAAUUCAUCAAUUUCAAUUUAUUUUUUAACUAACUCUGUUUGAAAAUUAUGAAACCAACAUAAAUACCUAAAUACCCAAAGCUAUAAUAUGAGCGUUCAAUCAGUUUAGAUUUUUCAAUCUUUGGAUUAGGAAAACUUUGCUGAAAGGAACCCAACAUAACUUGCGUUUAUUCAGGAAUUGAUUGGUUGGUUUUGCUUGUGAGAGUUUAGUUUUUAUGUUUGAUAUUUUUGCUAAAAUCAGUUAAACUAUACGAAAUACGUCCAGGCCGUUUACCAAAAAAAAUGAAGAAAAAAAUACGUCCAGGCCUAAUCAAACUUUCUAAAAUAAAAAAGAUAUCAAACAUAACUCUGCCGCAUAAGAAAACCAAAUCUCGCGUAUAUUCAGUGUGAUGCAAACUAGAAGAAACUCAAACAAAAAGACAGAUUUUAAGAACUUUCCUUGGUCAAUGUUUGUAACUUGCCUCGGAAAGUCACAGAAACUUCACACUGAAACCUACUAUUACUUUUUAUUUUCCAUAAAAAGAAACAGCAGAGUUUACCCUCCUUCCUCUGCGUUUUCACACCAAAUCCCCGUGUGAACAGUCACAGCUUCCAGCAAAAGACAAUAAUACCCUUAGGUGACCUUCCCAGAAGAAACCAAAACAAAAACAAAAAAAACAAAGCUUCCUUCGUCCAGUCCACUACCUAAAAGCUUAGUUGGCUUCCAUAGUUCCAUGGAUGUUCCUUCUCCGAAACCCCAAAACUCUCUUCCUCUAUAUAUACAAAAUCCACUCUCAUUUCUACAUCAUCGACUCCAAAACCCAUCUCUCAAAAUUCUCAAUUUCAGUUCACUCUAUAGCUCAAAUGGCGACUCCUCAAUCCUCAACCAGACCAACCCACCAAAACCCACAACCCAAUUUCCACGACCUCUUCCCCGCCAUGGCCGGAAAACUCGGAGGAGAAGGUCUAAUCGACGAGCUCUGCAAAGGCUUCGAGCUCCUCAUGGACGGAGACAAAGGAGUCAUCACUUUCGAGAGCUUGCGGCGAAACGCAUCAGCGGUUCUUGGACUCGGAGAUCUGACGGACGACGAUGUAAGGUGUAUGAUCGACGAAGGGGAUUUCGAUCGAGACGGUGCGUUGAAUCAGAUGGAGUUUUGUGUGCUCAUGUUUAGGCUAAGCCCUGACUUGAUGGAUGCGUCACGCUUUGUCGUCACGGAGGCGAUCGAGGAGGAGUUUGGUGACCGAACGCAUGGGCAUUGAUAUCCUUCUUUCUCCAUCAGAGACUUUGACUUAAGUUUGUUUAACCCUUUUAUGUUUUUCUUAUCCUUUCGAUUAUUGUUGCAAUUCGUAUAAAAUUCUUGGAUAUUAUAUCAACCGAUAUGGAAAAAAUUCAUUGAAAACAGACAAAAAUAUAAGUAUAUAAUUAGAUGCAAAUUCGGUUCUUCGGCUUUUCUGUAUGAUUCCCCCCCCCCCCCCCCCCCCCCCCUCCUCUUUUUCUANNNNNNNNNNNNNNNNNNNCCCCCCCCCCCCCCCCCCGGAUGAUUUUAAUUUUAACCUUCCGGUUGUGAUAGUUAAUAAAUACAGUAUACGGAUCCAAGUGAACGAACAAAAAUAACUAUAAACGCGAGCAAGUUUUGAGCGAUUUUGUUUCAACAAAAGAAAAUCACUAGUAGCUUUGGCUAAGCAAGUCUUAUCAUAUAUCAUGUUUUAAAAAUAUCCAUUAUUUAAAAAUCUGAUAAAAUCCAUAAAAUCCGAUAAAUAUUGAGGCUAACUGGUUGAAACAAUGGAUGACCAAUAUGUAAUUUUUUUUAUUAACAAUGUUACAAAUGCUUUGUUAAUUUGUAAAAAUUGUGUCUAUUUACAACAUUUUUGCAUUUAAAUCAGCGUUUUAAAAUCUGAUAUGGAUUCGCGAUCGAACCAGUAAACCGGUAAUCUAAUAUGUAAUCCGGUUUAUGAUUUAAGAAAAUCCACUAUUUAAAAAUCCGUAAAAAUCCGCUAAAUCUCGAGGUUAACCGGUUAAACCGAUAGGUGACCGAUACGUAAAUCCAAUUUGAUUUGAAUUGUAAAUGACCAUUAAUUUUAUAAGAAAAUUGGGCUUAAUAUCAUAACAUCCAAAAAAUAUCAUAUAUCAAUAAAAUUUACUAAAACAAUAAGGCUAUAUUAUUUAAACAAAAUAAUGUUUUUACUUAUAAAUCCCUUAAGAUACUAAAAUGAUAUAUGUUAAAGUAUAUUUUGUAAACACAACAUGUAAAUAUAAAUUAUAUUAAACAUAUAUAUUUUCUAUAAUGUAAAUAAAUAAAUUAAAACAAGUAUUACAUGCAAAAUGUAUAAAUUAAAAAAAAAAUAUUUUGAAGGAGGCUCUCCAAUUGAUUAUUUUAGAUUGUUAUUUUAUUGUAUCUAAUUCAAAAAUAUAUUCGUAAGUAAUAUAAAUUAAUAACAAAGUAAAAUGUAUGAAACAAUUACUAUAUAUUAAUAAUGUUGAAUAAUAAAUAAAAACAAUAAUAUUAUAUAGUUACACAAUAUAUAACACUAAAAUGGAAAUUAUAUAUCUAAAAUAUUUGUAAUAAUAUCAAAUAUAUUUAUAAAAUAAAAAAAUAUCCGAACGGACGUGCGGGUCAAAAUCUAGUAAAUGAUAGAGAAUUACCUAAUGUGGCAAAAUAUAUAUGACAAUUAAUGAUUUUGAAUAAUAACGAUCUAGUAAAAAUUAUUAUAUCUUCUAUCAUAUUUAUUUAAUUUUAAAUUAUUAAAAUAAAUCAAACAACCACAUUAACCUCAUUUAAAAACGACUAUAAAUUAUGAAAAAUUGUUAAAAGUUUCAUAUUCAAAUUUUGUGAUCCAUAGUUUAAGUUUUUUAUUAUGACAAAAUACAAAUGAUUAUAAAAUUAUAUAAGUAAGAUGUGUAAUUUAAUUAAUUAUUAAGACUAAUAUAUAUAUAUAUAUAUAUCGUUUUAAAUUAAACUAUACCACGUAAAAUAUAUAAAUAUUAAUUUUGGUAUUUACUUUGAAAAAUUGUUUUUUGAUAGAAUCUUUGAACAAACAUUGACAACUUAAUUUUUUAAAAUUAUAAACUACUAAAACUAUUAAUCCUACAGUGAAAUUUUUGUUAUCAGUAAUUUAAAGAUUUUGCUAUAAAAGAUACAAAUGAUAAAAAAAAAAACUAUAUGAGUAGAAAUCAUCAUCUAAUUGACAUUAAUAUUAAAAAUAUAUUAUGUAUGUUAAUAUCAUUUAAAUUUAAUUAUAUAUCCUAUAAAAUAGAAAAAAAAAUAUUAUUUGAAUUAAUAAAAUUGAUUUAUAUGUUCAUGGUAAUUUAAUUAUAUAUGUAAUAGUUAAUGACUUUUAAUUAUUCAAUAUAUAUUUAUUAUUUCUUUAUAUAUAAAACAUAUAAUUCAAAAAAUAAUUUCUAAAUAAAAUGCUCAAACCGCGCAAGGCGCGGAUAUUAAUCUAGUCUUACCAUAAAAUUGUUUUACAAAUUUCAGCAUUAAUAACCGUGAUAUAAAGCAUACCAAAAAAGUAGUUUAGAUGUUAGUUUUUUUUCCAAAAGUAAAUACGUUCACUACAAGAAAACUUGUUUAUAGCCACGACUCAGCCACAAACAUUUUGCGGCAAGAGAAAUAUAGCCACAAAAUAUCCGUAAAAUAGCUACAACAAAUUUUUAUGGCUAUUAUGUAGCUUUUUGUCGCUAUUUAGCUGCAAAAUAUGCUUUGUAGCUAUUCAAAGACCCAUAGCCACAAUUAGCUACAAUAUAAAUUGUGGAAGUACAUAUCCCACAAUUUUCCACUGUAUUAUUUGUAGCCAAUUUAGCCACAACAGUUUCCGUAGCUAUCCGAAGAAAUGAAAUUUUAAAAUAUUAAAAUUAAUUACAAACUUAAAACAAAAAACAGUUACGAACUUAGUUAUGGGCAUUUGUGGCCACUUAAAAGACAUGGCUGCAAACAAAUUUGUGGCUACCCUGUAGCAAAGAGUGUAACAUGUAAAUGCAUGUAUCAUUUCUAAAAUAUAUAUAUAUAUAUAUAUAUAUAUAUGUAAUGCCAAUUUUUUUAUAACAUUUACAAUGUUAUAUGGAAUGUUAAAAUCAUUUUUUCGAAUCCCCUAUAUAUUAUUUGUGAAACAUUACAACUUCUUUUUGUAGCCACGUGUCAUCACUACGAUGAUUCUUAGCAUUAUUAGAGAAAUGGGUUGGUCCAUCUAAAUAUAUAAUAAGCUUUUUAUUAAACUAACCAUAAAUUCAUUAUUAAUGUCAUUUAUUAUUUCCUUAAAUAAAGAUUACGGAAUUGCCUAAUGUGGGUAAAGUAUAUAUGACAAUUAAUGAUUUUGAAUAAUAAAGAUCUGAUAAAAAAAAUAAUGUAUCUUCUAUCAAAUUUGUUUAAUUUUAAACUAUUAAAAUAUUUUUUAUAAAACCACAAUAACCAUAUUAUAAAAAUUUAGUUUUUUCUGUAUAUGUUAUAUUUUAAAUUUUAAAAAACGACUAUAAAAAUGGCACCUGCAUUGACAAAAGAGCAGAAGCUUAUGUGAAGGAAGCUGAAUCUCUUGCCUUGGAGCGAUCACAAAGUUCCACUUGACCUGUGAAACUGCAUCGGCACCCUCUAACCAGCAGCUCACUGUUGCUUAUAUUGAAGUAAGAAGCUCCUACUCUAACUCAUAUCAAUCUUAAAGCAUACUGCAUUUGGUUUUGAUAUGAUCAUCCAUGGAAUUUUUUUUUUUUGUUAUUCUAAACUCGUGUCUUGUGUCAAUAUACUUUUCUUGUAGAUGGUAACUAAUGUUGAUGCUGAACCCAAUGAGUCUCCGGCAGCUUCUCUAUGCAGAGACGUUGGAGUUGAUGGACAAUUGACCACCGACGAUUGUCGACCACCAGAUUCGCUGGUCUGCCAUUGAAAGGUGACUAAAAGACCAGAAACAGGGUGCAGAGUGUUGUGACUGGGUUGAAGGAUGACGUUUCUAGGUUGAAGUAAAGCAUCGACUUGUUGUCGAAGAUGAAUGGAGUGGAUCCUAUUACUCGUCAACAUAUUCCACGUGAGAGUGGUGCAUCUGCUCCAAGUCCUCAUUCUGAUUCUAGCCAAGAACUUAAUCAGCACUCUCCCACUCAUUAACUCUUCAAUCUAUCCUAGGUGUAUUGUGUUUCCUUGUGCAAUAUUAAUCUAUGUCUUUUGUAAAAUCAUUAGAUGUUUUCUUUAACUUAAAAUUGUAAUGAUAUUUUGAAUGAUUUAGCUAAUUAUGUCUUUUUUGUAUAAUUAAUUAUUGUUUUGAAAUUUCGUUUCAAGAACUUUAAUAGAAUACAAUUUAAAAUUGAAUAAUAGAAAAUUUGAUAAAUACAUUUUUUAAAAUUAUGAAACUAUAGCUACAAAAUUUAAUUGUGACUAUUUGUAUGCUGAUAGCUACAAUUCAGUCUGUGGCUAUUUAUAGAAAAAUGGCGACAACUUAUUGUGUGACAAUGUUGUGGCUAAUAGAGCUACAAAUCGGUAGAGGCUAUUUGUGUCUCAUAUUCCACGAUUAUGAGUGUGGCUAUUAGUAGAAAAUUUGCUACGGUUAAUAGUGUGGCUUUUUGUGGCAAAAUAUCCACAAAAUCUAUUUCGCGCUAUUUGUAGAAAAUAGCUGUAAAUAUCGUUUGUGGCCGAGUCGCGGAAACAUAUCUACAAAUAGCCACAAUUUCUCAAUAGCCACAAGCCGAUAGUCAACAAAUUUUUUUUGUAGCCAUUCGUCGCUAACGGUGAAAUAACCACAAAGAUUAAGCUAUAGCUACAAAAAAAUUAGUGGCUAUUCUCUAUUUUUCUUGUAGUGGUUAGGCUUAAGUAUAUGAUAUAGUUUGAUUUACAGGAAUUAAUUAUAGGGUAUAAUAUCUUUUAAAUAUUUUUCCUAAAAGCAAGUUUGGUCUAAUUUUAUGUUUUUGUUUCCCUUAAUAAUUGAUUAGAGAUCUAACACUAUGGACAGGGCCGGCUCAAAUAAAUCAUGGCCCUUAGGCAAAAUAGUUUUUAAACAAAUUUUACAUAUAUUUUAUAGAUAAUUUAAAAUUUUUGGGCCAUUUUUCUUAUUUUUUAAAAAUAUUAGACCCUUUCAAUCACUAAUUAUGCAAAAAAAAAAAUUGACCCGGGGCCCACGCUCUUCUUGCCCUUAUACCUAAACCGGCCCGGACUAUGGAUUGCAAUUUUCCUUAUCCCUCAAAAAGUAGUUCUUGUUGGAUCCGGCUUGAAUCGAAGUAAGCAAUUUUCGAAUUUACUUUUCACUACCUGUUUUUGAUUUCCGGAAAAAAUUAGAUUAAAACCCUGUUUGUAAGAAAACAUAUUAAGAGUAAAGGGUUCUUAAAACCGGACUGACCUGGUUCAUGGUUGAACUUGGUUCGACCAUGAACCGGUUACAUAGUCGGGUUGGGUCUAAUAAUUGGUUCGACCGUGAACCGGUCAAGCAGUACAUCAUAUACAUGUAUCAUAAAUAUAUAUUUUUCAGUCGUUUUAAUUGGUAGCCGGAUUUGACCUCAGAGUUAUUAAACUGAUAAAAAUCAUUAAAACUAUCAAAAAUCUAUAAAUCAACUAGUUUAUAUUUAUAAUGUUUUAUGUUUUAAAUUCAUUUAUAUUUUAAUUUUGUUUCAUAUUUACUAACAUUACUUUUAAAUUUAUCCACUAGACAUAUAUUAAUCCAGAUUAUUGAAACAAGUUUGAUCCGAUCGAACCAUAUUGAACCGUAACUCAAAAAUUAUUCGGUUCAGCUUCCAGUCCGGUUUUAAAAACACUGGAGUAAACAGUUAAGCCUUUGUAACACAUCUUAACACAUCUCUCAUCAAAGUCUACAUGUAAUUAUGAGAUAUGUGAGUGUAGUUUCAACUUUCAACCACCUGAUCAAAUUUCUACUUUUCCACUAGUUAAUUUUACUUUAUAUAUAAAGCAAAUAUGGUUGCACCUUGCGGGUAUCCAUCGUGUAGGAUAAUGCGUGUAGCCAUGCAGUCCCUGAUCCUGCGAAGAAGACCAAAUCAUGCAUGUACGUAUCUUAAGCGACACUUUGGUCAAUAAAGCUAAUAUAAAAAGUCGUUUACUUUGUUUCAACGGAUAUGAGCAAAUUUGGGGUAAGUUGAACAUCAUAUAUAAGUAAUGGGGCGGAAAAGCGAAGCAUCCUUAAAACACAAGCCAGCUUUAGCAUUUUAUCAUUUGUCUUCACUCAUAUUAACAUCAUAUUUUUUUGUAUAAAUAACUUUAAUUAUUUGGACAUUUUAUCUUGUAUAUUUGUUUUUAACAUAAUAUUUUAUCAUGUAGUUCUUGGAAAGAAAUAUCUUUGAAGAUCGCCCCCUCUUGAUUACAACGAAAGGUUCCUGUAAUUCUAAGGGAUAUCCAAAAUGAUUACAUCCAAGUUCCUAGAUAUGAUCUUUAGAUAUAUAUAUAUAUAUAUGGAUCCAACAUAUAUAAGGUUUCACUAUACUCAGGUCCAGGUAAACAUACAUGUAACAUAUAUAUAACGAAUUAUUCUAACCUCUAGGUUCACCAACCAAUAGGAUUGUGUUAUUUCAUAUUUGAUAUCUUUAAAAAAAAAAAAUAUUGUCAAAUUAUAUUAUCUUUUUAAAACUAAUAGGUAAAAAGAAAAAAAAUAAAAAAUAGUAGUAAUUACAAAAAAAAAAAAUUUAACGUCGUCAGCAAAACAUUAAACUUUAAAUCCUAAUUCCUAAACCCUAAACCUUUGGGUAAACCCUAAACUCUAGGAUAAAUCUUAAACUCUAAAUCAAAAUCACUAAUAAACACUAAAACACUCAAGGGUUUAGGGUUUAGAGUUUUAGGGUUUAGGGUUUAGAGUUUUAGGGUUUAGUUUUUUUAUUUAGAAUUUACGAUUUAUCCAAGGGUUUAGGGUUUAUCCAAAGGUUUAGAGUUUACCCAAGGGUUUAGGGUUUAGGAUUUAGGGUUUAGGGAUUAGGAUUUAGGGUUUAGUGUUUUGCUGACGACGUUAAAAAGAUUUCUUUUAAUUCUUUUUUUCUGUAACUAGUUUUUUUUUUUACUUUUUAUUUUAGAAGUAUAAUAUAACUUGACAAUAUUUUGUUUCUUUUUUUUAAAGAUAUCGAAUUUGAAAUAAUGAAAUUCUAUUGGUUGGUGAAAUUCUAGAGGUUCACCAACCAAUAGAAUUUCAUUAUUUCAAAUUCGAUAUAUAACCUCAGUUUCAUCUAGAGGUUCACCGACCUAGAGGUUCACCCUAGGAAGUGAACCCAAAAAUAACUCAUAUAUAACCCAAGUUUUGCAGACGGAUUGUCUUAGAUCGGAUUCUAAAUAAUUUACAUAAAAUUUUGUUGGUUGGUGAAUCUAGAGAUUCACCUUAGGGGUGAACCUAAGAAUAAAUCAUUAAAAUGGUUUUAAUGAUAAGUUUCAAUGUUAGUAAGCCAAAUUUUAGAAAAUAAUUAUGUUUUAGUUCUGUAGAUUAUCGUUUCGUUUUUAGAACUUUUAUACAUGUUUCAAAAUUAUAUUAAUCAAUUAUGUAAAUUAAAAAUGCUCCAAAUUUUAAACUAGUUAUAACUUUCUGUAUAUCUAAGAACGGCACUGCAUAUAUGAGCCUAAUGUUAAAAAAUAAAUGAGCGUAGUGUUAUUUGUAUCCUCAUCUAUUUUUGACGCUAUAGGUUUGUUAAGUUAUAGAUAAUCGUUGUAUAGAUAUCAAAUAACGAUAGUUUUUAGUUGAUGACAAUACACUGUUCAAAAAAAUCCCAUUAUUAAAGUGAAGUAAAAAAACAGUGCAUUCAUACUAAUUAAUUUGAUAGGAUUACUUGUAAUUUAGACGACGCCUUACUGCUUUUGGAAAUUAAAAUGCAUAGUCGUAGUUUUAUUAAGAAACUAAAAGUCAAGAAAGAACAAAGAAAAAUGAUGACGAGAGUGAUGAUGCAACGUCUUGAAGUCGGAAUUUAGAUUGGUUGGAUCAAGUCUUGAUCCAAUGGCUAGAUUAUAUUCGCCGAUCAAAAUCGGACGGAUAAGUUUUUUGACCCUACCCUCAGUCAAUUUAGCACCUACUUGGUUGUCUUCGUGGGGCUUGGAUCACAUUCGUUGACUUGUUCUCCCUCAGUUUCAUAUCUCAUCAAUAGAUUUUUAAAAAGAUGAUUUCAUUAUUAGUUGUGAAUUGUGAUUGCUAUGCAUUUGGUGUGCAGCGAAUUGCGGAUUGAGUGAUUGAUUGGUAUGGUAUAAAAAACCCACUAAACGAUGGAUAAGUAUAACCUAUAGCUUAUGAAGAUGUUGCAAAAUAUUAAUAUGUGACUUAACUGAAACAUAACUUUUCGUUUGUAUAUGAAAAUAUUUAGACGGUUACAAAUUAUAUCGUGGAUGUCCAUAACCAGCCCGGUCUAUAACCGGUUCAUAUCUAGAAAGAGAGACGGUCGUGCCCUAGAGAGAGAGAGAGCCGGUGGCUGGAGAGAGAGCCGGUCGCUGGAGAGAGAGAAACCCUAGUUUCCAUUUUCCUUAUUAGUUUAUGAUUUGUAUUUUUUUCAUAUUUGUAUUUUCUUUCUCUAAUAUUUCCAUUAUUCUAUGACGGUGUAAUUCCCUAUAUAUAAAGGGCUCUUUAUGUUUAUGAAUAAGAUAUAAAACAUACAGAUUAUAUUCUCUAGUUUCACAACACGUUAUCAGCACGAUUACGCUCUAAACCCUAAGCUAAAGUCCGAACCCUAAAACCCUAAUCUCAUCCCGACGAUAAACCCUAAACCCGAUGACGAACCCUAAUCUGAUCGAGAACCUAAAACCCCAUACUCAAGGCGUUCCCGAUCUCAGCACGCGACCUCAGUCCGCUCCUUAGCUCGCGACUUCGGCCUGUUCGCGAGACACGAUCUCAGCCUGCUCGACGCGACUCGAUACCGUUCGAUAGCCAGCACGUUCACGACCCGAUAGCUGCUUGCUCCCGUUCGCGACUCGUCUCAGCUUCAAUUCGUUCGCGACAGACAGCAACCUGUUCGCGACCCGACAGCAACGAUCAGCUCGCGUUCUUCUCUAUUCGGUGGUCCAUUCAACCCGACUUGAGGUUUAGGUAAAACUAAAACCUAAGAACCAAACCCUAAGGCAAUAGAUCCAAUCCCUAAUAACCUAAAUUGAAUCUUAUUGCUUGAUUAAAAUCGAAACCCUAAUUCCCUAAAGCCUAGCCUCAUGCAUACCAUGCAAACCCUAAUCGAAAUUUGAUUUGAUUGUUUAUGUGAUUGAAUGUUUUGAAUCUGAUUAUCAUCACAUAGAACCGAUUGCUAGGGUUGAUUAAUCUCAUACUUGAAUUUGGUUGAUUGAAUUGAUGAACUAAUUGAAUGUUAUCUUGCGAUAGAAAUCGCCUAAGUUGAUUAUUUCUCAUCUUGUUUAAAACUUGAAACCAACCGGCUUGUUCAUAUUGAAACCCUAAUUGCAUUAAUCUCAUUAAAUAUGAUCGUUAGGUUGAUAGUAACUAAACCCCUUGAUGCAUUGCUUGAUUGUUUUAUUGAGGUUUCAUGAUUACUUAGAAUCAUUCUUGCUAAAGAUGAAUAACUGAUUGCAUUAAGAUCAUAUAGAAACCGAUUGCUAAGAUUGUUCAUACUCUUGGCCGUGCGGCUUGUCUUGCAUUAUGCAUGUUCGGAUUGUUUGGCCAUGCGGCUUGUUAGCAUAUCAUGCAUGCAUAAUCGUAUGAACUAAAUGCAUCAUAUCCGUUUGGUCGUGUGACCAAUUUGCAUUAUAUAUCUGAUUGUCUUGUAUGCAUUAUAAGAACAUUAAAAAUCCUAAGAAUGAAAUAUAUGAUUUCAGAUGUCGAAAAUCAACAACUUGGAUUUUGCUGCCCUAAAUCUCUCUGGAGAUAAUUACUUGCAAUGGGCACUUGAUGCUAAGAUCAUCCUAAAAUCCAAGGGAAGUGAGAAAGAUAGAUAUGGAGCUAUAUUAAUUAUACGCCAUCAUCUUAUUGAGAGUCUCAAAGAUCAGUAUUUGACUAUUGAGAAUCCUCUAGACCUUUGGACAGAGUUGAAAACGAGAUAUGAUCACCAGAGAACGGUGUUAUUACCAAAGGCUAUGUAUGAUUGGAGGAAUCUCAGAAUCCAGGACUUCAAGUCCGUGGACGAGUAUAACUCGGCCCUGUUUAAGAUAGUUUCUAAAUUGAAACUGUGUGGUGAGGAUAUAACGGAUAAGGAUAUACUUGAGAAAACAUUUUCCACCUUCCACACAAGUAAUGUGUUGUUACAACAACAAUACUGUGAGAAGGGCUUCUCUACUUUUGCUAAUCUGAUCUCUUGUCUCUUGCUCGCUGAGCAGAACAGUGAACUGUUGAUGAGGAACAGUGAAUUGAGACCUCCUGGAACAAACCCAUUACCUGAGGCACAUGCGGCCGUAGAGGAUAAGAAAGAGUCGAACCAUGUCUAGAGUGAUAGCCAAUACGGCUGUGGUCGUGGAAAAUGGAAUGGACAUGGUGGUCGAGGCCGAAACUUGUUUGGUCGAGGCCGAGGCAACUCAUAUGGCCAUGGACAAGGAAACUCUUAUGGAGGCCGUAGUCAUGGCCGAGGCCGUGGUACAUCAUUUAAACCAUAAAACUCGACCAAAUCCGUGUGUCAUAGAUGUGGUAUGGAUAAUCAUUGGGCUAAGACAUGUAGGCCUCCCAAACAUCUCGUUGACCUCUACCAAGAGAGUUUGAAAGGGAAGAAUCAUGAAGCUCAUAUGACUUAUCAAGAUGGUGAAGAUGAUUUCAAUCAUGAACAAGACGAUCUCAUGGAGUAUGAAACGUCUGAUUGUUAAGAUCAAAGUUGAUUUUGGCCAUCUAUGUUUUUGUGUUCUUUGCUUUGUGUUUUCUAUGUUUUGAUUGCUUUGAACUUAUUUUAUUAAUGAAUGAAAGUUUUUGACAUAAAAGUCUCUAAAGUCUCAUAGAGGGCUACGGCCAGGCUAAUAUCAUGUUGCCUAAGGCUACGCAUCUAGAGAUAUAUGAUGCAUUGUAUUCACCCAGCUCUAAGAGAAGCCUAUUGAGCUUUAAAGACAUUCGAAUGAAUGGCUUUCAUAUUGAGACUAAGGACGAAGGAAACAAAGAGUUCCUUCAGAUCAUAGAGAUCGGCCAAGGCUAUAAGAAAGUCCUAGAGUCUAUACAUGCGCUCUCUAUUGGCCUUUUACUAUGCUAAGGUCGGAAUGAUAGAAACCAAUGCUGGUGAGUUCACGUCCCAAGCGUUUAAUGAUUACUGUAUGUCCAUGGGGGUAAGUGUGGAACACUUCGUGGCACAUGUACAUACACAGAACGGCUUGGCCAAAUCAUUCAUAAAACGAAUUCAGCUGAUAGCUAGACCAUUGCUUAUGAGGUCUAAGCUUUCGGUCACAGCUUGGGGACACGCGGUCUUGCACACGGCUGAACUGAUUCAUAUCAGACCGUCUAGUGAACAUAGAUAUUCCCCAUUACAAUUGCUUACGGGUCAUGAGCCAGACAUAUCCCAUCUUAAGACAUUUGGUUGUGCCGUCUAUGUGCCAAUUUCACCACCAUAGAGAACAAAGAUGGGACCUCAAAGGAGGAUGGGGAUAUAUGUUGGAUAUGAUUCUCCCACAAUUAUUAAGUACCUUGAGCCAACUACAGGUGAUUUAUUUAAGGUCAGAUAUGCGGAUUGUCAUUUCGAUGAAUCCGAACAUCCAACAUUAGGGGGAGAUAAUAAUAAGCUGGUAAAAGAAAUUACAUGGAAUCAAACAUCCUUAUCUUGGCAAGAUCCUCGGACUCAAGAAUGUGAUUUAGAAGUCCAAAAGAUAAUACAUUUACAAAAGCUAGCUAAUCAAUUGCCAGAUUCCUUUGCUGACCCGAAAAGAGUGACAAAGUCAUAUAUACCAUCUGCUAAUGCACCAAUAAGAAUUGAUGUUCAAGAGGGACACAAUCAAGUUGCUACAGAGUCUAGACAACAUUUGAAACGUGGUAGACCAAUACGUUCCAAAGAUAAGAACCCUCAGAAAACUAAGAAAGGUGUAGAUAAUGAAACCGAGGUGGUUGAAACCCUAGACACGACCGCAGCCGUUCCUAAAUCCCAGGACUUAGCCGCGGCCGAUCCCAAAACCCUAAUAGUGAUUGCGGACGAUCAUAAGAUCUUAGAUGCGGCCGGCCCUGAUGUAUCUGAUAUUGAUUCUUGGAACGCCAAGAUUCAAGGUACUGAAGGCCCUGAUAAUAAUGAGAUCUCAAUAAAUUAUGUCUUGUCUGGGAUACAGUGGAACAGAAAGAAUGUCGACAUUGAUGAUAUAUUUGCAUGCAAUGUAGCACUUGAAAUCAUGGAUGAUAAUGAGGAUCAUGAACCCACGUCUAUUUAUGAGUGCACUCAACGAUCAGAUUGGAUCAAAUGGAAAGAAGCUAUAAACGUGGAGUUAAACUCUUUAAAGAAGAGAGAUGUCUUUGGACCAAUAGUCCGGACACCUUAUGAUGUUAAACCAGUCGGCCAUAAGUGGGUCUUUGUGAGAAAGAGAAACGAACAUGGUAAUGUCGUUAGAUAUAAAGCACGUCUUGUUGCACAAGGAUUCUCACAAAGACCAGGAAUAGAUUAUGAGGAGACAUACUCCCCUGUGGUGGAUGCUACUACUUUUAGAUUCCUAAUAAGUCUGGCUAUAAGAGAAAAAUUAGACUUGCGGUUAAUGGAUGUUGUAACUGCAUACUUAUAUGGGCCACUGGAUAAUGAGAUUUAUAUGAAAGUACCAAAGGGUAUAGAGUUGAAAAACAAAUCGAGUACUCGAGAACAACACUGUAUAAAGUUGAAUAAAUCACUUUAUGGAUUGAAACAAUCAGGCCGAAUGUGGUACAAUAGACUAAGUGAGUACUUAGUGAAAGAAGGAUAUAAGAAUGAUCUGAUCAUCUCUUGUAUCUUUAUAAAUAAAUUUGGCCAGGGCUUUGUAAUCAUAGCAGUGUAUGUUGAUGAUUUGAAUAUCCUAGGAACCUCUGGAGAGAUUUCCCAAACAGUUAAAUAUCUUAAGAAAGAAUUCGAGAUGAAAGAUCUAGGAAGAACGAAAUUCUGUUUGGGAUUACAGCUUGAGUACAUUGAAGAUGAAAUCCUUGUGCAUCAAAUGACAUAUACAGAAAAGGUACUCAAGAGAUUUAAUAUGGCCGAGUCUCACCCGUUGUCGAGCCCCAUGGUCGUGAGGUCCCUCGGCAUGGACACUGAUACGUUCCGUCCUAAGAUGGACGAUGAAGAUGUCCUAGGUCCCGAAGUGCCAUAUCUCAGUGCCAUAUGAGCUUUGAUGUAUCUGGCUAGUCACACACGACCAGAUAUAUGUUUUGCCGUGAAUCUAUUGUCUAGAUUUAGCUCUUGUCCAACCCAAAGGCGCUUGGAUGGGAUUAAACAUAUUCUUCGUUACCUGCAAGGAACGAAAGACUUGGGUUUAUUUUAUACUAACUAUAACAAAGAAGGAUAAGUUGGCUUUGCUGAUGCAGGUUAUCUCUCGGAUCUUCACAAUGCUCGAUCACAGACGGUUACGUCUUUACUCAUGGUGUUACGGUCAUCGCAUGGCGUUCCAUGAAGCAGAAAAUCGCGGCCACUUCAUCAAAUCAUUUGGAAAUCUUGGCUAUUCACGAGGCCAGCCGCGAGUUUGUGUGGUUACGGUCCAUGACCAACCAUAUCCGAGAUGAUUGUGGGAUGACUAAAGGCAAGGACGCACCAACUGUGAUGUAUGAGGACAAUGCAUCUUGCAUUGCUCAGCUUAAGGAUGGCUACAUCAAAUGAGACCGAACGAAGCACAUACAGCCUAAGUUCUUCUACACGCACGAGCUUCAGAAAGCCGGCGAGGUCCAAGUCGUCCAAGUGCGUUCCAGUGACAACUCAGCCGACUUGUUCACCAAAUCACUUCCUACCUGCACGUUCAGGAAGCUCACACAUUAGACUGGGAUGCGUAGACUGAAAGACCUUCAGUGAUGUUCAGAACAGGGGGAGUAAUACGUGUUGUACUCUUUUUCCUUCACCAUGGUUUUGUCCCACUGGGUUUUCCUGGUAAGGUUUUAAUGAGACAACAUCUAAAGCGUAUUACAAACUCUGUAUGGUUAUAGCAUCCAAUGGGGGAGUGUUAUAAAUCAUAUUGUGGAUGUCCAUAACCGGCCCGGUCCAUAACCGGCCCAUACGAAUAUGGGGUUUCUAGAGAGAAAGAGAGACGGUCGCGCCCUAGAGAGAGAGUCGGUGGUUGGAGAGAGAGAAACCCUAGUUUCUUUUUUCCUUAUUAAUUUAUGAUUUGUAUUCUUUCCAUAUUUGUAUUUUCUUUCUCUAGUCUUUCUAUUAUUCUAUGACGGUGUAAUUCCCUAUAUAUAAAGUGCUCCUUAUGUUUAUGAAUAAGAUAUAAAACAUACAGAUUAUAUUCUCUAGUUUCACAACAGAGACUGUGUUUAAUAUUAGUGAUUAUAUUAACCUAAACAUAUUAGUUAGUAACUUAGUAUCAUUACACAUGUAAACUCAGGAACAGAAUUUCGUAGCUUUACUAGUUAGUAACCUAGUAUCAUAGACACCAAUUUCAUUGGGAUAAUUGAUUUUGCAAACUUAUAAUAAUUUUAGUCAAGCUACCAUUUUGUGUAAGACUAUUUCAUAAUUUAAUCAUACAAAGCUUGAACAGAUAAACACUAUGAUUUCUUGUUUAGAAAAGUCAUCUUCUAGAGAAAACAAGCAGAAAGCUUCUUUCUUGUGUUAAGAUAAUCAUAUUUUUGAGGGAAAAGGAACAUGAUGGUGAGCGUGACGCCACGUAUCAUCAUUAAUUUUAUGUUAUUUAAAUAAUUUAAAUUAUAGAAUAAAAUCAACUUUUUCCGUCCAAUACCAAACCAGGUGAGAACGACUACGUUUUGAAUUGACCACUUUUUUUUUGUUCAAACAUUCAUAAAUCACGGCAAACCUACGUAAAAUUCCCACAGAUACAGGAAAAAUGAGAACAGACGAAAAUUUGACCGUCAUUGAAUUGACCACCUAUACCCCCUAUAAUACCCGUGAAACUCAAAAUUGGCCCACUAGUUUUGUUUGCUUCAUUUGCUAGCUAUAAUCACCAUACUUAUUAAAGAAAUGGCAUGAUAAUUAUUAUGUUCCAAUAAUUUAACCAAAAAAUACGCAUAUGAAAAUAGUGAUUUUAGAAAGCUCUGAGGUUAUGCAAAUUUCAUUAUGACUUAUGUUAAUUUCAUUGCUUCAUAGUACAUCAAAUGUUUUUGAAAAUAUUGUUUUUCAACUCAUGAUGAACCAAAAGAUUUAAUUCUUCAUCGGUCUCUUUAAAUACUCAUGAAGGGGUGGCUAAAUAUAUAUAUAUAAAAGAAAAAGUGCAUGGUAAGAUUUCAAUUUGACCAAAUAAUGAGGGCGUUGAAGUUGAGUUCCUCUGGAAAAUACAAGUUUGGGAAAAGGAUAAAAAAGAAAAGAAAACAGAUAAUGUUGGACCACUAUAAAUACGCUUACAGCAUUUUCGGAUCGUUGAACCAUUCCUAUAUCAUCAUCAUCCACAAAGACAAUUUUACGAGAAACACUUCAGAAAGUAGUUAAGCUUCAGAUAAACGAAGAGACGAUUCCGAUGGCAACCAAAGUGUAUAUCGUGUAUGUUAAUUUUCUGUUUAUCUUUUUUUCCUAGUCUGUUCCUGCUUCUAGCGACUUGAUUUCAUGUUUUUUUAAUGUCUAAGAUCGGACAAGAAGGUGUAUUGAUUUUUCACGGACGAUUGUUUUAUAUUUUAUUUACUGGCACUUGCUUUGUUUAGUGGUUCAAAGUCUCUUUGAUGUGUUCUGCAGGUACUACUCAAUGUACGGUCACGUGGAGAAACUGGCUGAAGAAAUAAGGAAAGGUGCUGCUUCUGUUGAAGGUGUUGAAGCCAAACUAUGGCAGGUUUGUUUGUUCUUUACCUCUGACUUUCUUCCAUAAUCACUUUUAUGUUCCAUUGACAAACUUAUGUUCUAUGGAUCAUCUAAGCGGCUACAACAUUAUGAUUUGAGUCCAAUUAGAAAGGAACUCUGUUUUUUUUAACGGUUUCUCGAUUGUUGAAUUGUUGUUACACAGGUGCCGGAGACGCUUCCAGAAGAAGCACUCCUUAAGAUGAGCGCACCACCAAAGAGUGGAUCACCAAUCAUCACACCCAACGACCUAACUGAAGCUGAUGGUUUUGUCCUUGGUUUCCCAACAAGGUUUGGUAUGAUGGCUGCUCAGUUCAAAGCCUUCUUGGACGCAACUGGUGGACUCUGGAGGACUCAGGCACUCGCCGGUAAACCAGCUGGUAUCUUCUACAGCACUGGCUCUCAAGGUGGUGGCCAAGAAACCACCGCGUCAGUUCUCUCAUCAAACAAUAAAUAAACUUCACAUCUUUGCCUAUAUCUUAACAAACGUUUUCUUAUGUGGUAAAUCAAUAGGUUGACGGCGAUAACUCAGCUGGUUCACCACGGGAUGAUAUUUGUCCCAAUCGGUUACACAUUUGGUGCUGGAAUGUUCGAGAUGGAGAAAGUUAAAGGAGGGAGUCCCUAUGGAGCUGGAACAUUCGCAGGAGAUGGUUCGAGGCAGCCAACACAGCUGGAGCUAGAGCAAGCGUUUCACCAAGGCAAGUACAUUGCAACCAUCACCAAGAAGCUCAAAGUAUCUACUGCUUAAUGCUUUCUAAUGGAUUCGGUAUCAAUAAGAACAAAAAACAUUGCAUGUUUUGCUCUGCUUUAUUAAUAUACUAGAAUAAGGCGUAGGGUGAGUUUAUUUGUAUAUAUUAUCGAUAGUUUCUUUUAUAUAUUUGAUCAUUUUAUUUAUAUAUAUAAAAUAUUUUUUGUUGUUAUUAUAUAAUUUAUUUCCGAUGGAUCGGAUCAAUUUUUAUUAAAAAUAAUGGAACAAAACUAUAAUUAAUACAUCAUGGUUGAUCGGAUUGGACAUUAAACAAAUUAUGACAUAAAAACCUUGUUUUUUCCAUCAAACACAUUCUUGAAAAAAGUGAACAGUAUUGUUUUCACAGUUGAAUUAUUUUGACUUUUAUAUUCCAUAUGGUUUUGAAAGCUUUCAAAUCUACCAUCGAAUUGAUACAUGUCAUUUUAAUGUUUUUAGUCGUAUACUUAAGGAAAACUUACAUUUUUGUAAUUUAAAGUCGUUUUAAAAAAUUCAAAAUAUAAUAUAUAAGAAAAAAUCUAACAUAUAAGAAAAAUAUAACAUAUAAGGUGUCCUCAUUUUUGUAUUUUAAAGUCGUUUAAAAAAAUAUAACAUAUAAGGUUUCCUCAUUUUUGUAAUUUAAAGUCAUUUUAAAAAAUUCAAAAUAUAACAUAUAAGAAAAAAUCUAUUUUUUUAUUAUAUGGUUAAUGUGAUUGUUUAUUUUUUUAAUACUAUAAAAUUAAACAAAAUGAAAAAGGAUGCAAAAAUUGUUAUCAAAUAUUUAUUAUUCAUAAUCAUUAAUUGCCUUAUAUAUGUAAAUCAUAUUAGGUAAUUUCGUAGCUUUUAUUUAUGGAAAGAAUACACACUUCUUAUAUUUUAGGUUAAUAUAAUGUUCUCUAGUGGACAUUAAACAAAUUAUGACAUAAAAACCUUAUUUUUUCCUCGAACACAUUUUUGAAAAAGUGAACAUUAUUGUUUUCACAGUUGAAUUAUUUUGACUUUUAUCUCUCAUAUGGUUUUUAAAGCUUUCAAAUCAACCAUCGAACUGAUACAUGUCAUUUUAAUGUUUUUAGUCGUAUACUUAAGGAAAACUUACAUUUUUGUAAUUUAAAGUCAUUUUAAAAAAUUCAAACUAUAACAUAUAAGAAUAAAUCUAACAUAUAAGAAAAUAUAACAUAUAAGGUGUCCUCAUUUUUGUAUUUUAAAGUCGUUUUAAAAAAAAAAAUAUAACAUAUAAGGUUUCCUCAUUUUUGUAAUUUAAAGUCAUUUUAAAAAAUUUAAAAUAUAAUAUAUAAGAAAAAAUCUAAUUUUUUAUUAUAUGGUUAAUGUGAUUGUUUAUUUUUUUUUAAUAAUAUAAAUUUAAACAAAAAAUGAAGAAGGAUGCAAAAAUUGUUAUCAAAUCUUUAUUAUUCAUAAUCAUUAAUUGUCAUAUAUAUGUAAAUCAUAUUAGGUAAUUCUGUAGCUUUUAUUUAAGGAAAGAAUAUACACUUCUUAUAUUUUAGGUUAAUAUAAUGUUCUCUAGUGGACAUUAAACAAAUUAUGACAUAAAAACCUUAUUUUUUCCAUCGAAGACAUUCUUGAAAAAAGUGAACAGUAUUGUUUCCACAGUUAAAUUAUUUUGGGGGUGAUUGGUUGGGCUUUAUCUACCUACUUUAGCUUUAUUUUUUUCUAAAUCAUUAAAUUUUACCAAUCAUGUUUUAGCUUUACUUUUCAAAGUUAAAUCAUACAUCAAAUUUCUAUUAAUUUUUAUCAAUCAUGUUUUAGCUUUAUUUUUAAAGCUACAGCAAAAAAAAUAAAGCAAACAUUUUUCUUUUGUAUUUUAGUUAAGAAACCUACAUCUUUCAUUUAUAAGCUGUAGAAACUGUAGAAUAAAAAAAUAUCUAUAAUAUCAAAUAAAUAAGAUAAUCAUAAUAAAAAAACAUCUACAAAUAUUUUACUCUAAUUUUGGGUGCUUUAAAUUAUUGAAAUAUUUUAAAUAAUAUAAAUAUUAUUUACAUAUCACAUUUUAAAUAACAGUAAACUUUGAUAAUUUUAAAUAAUAUUAAUAUAAAUUAUUUUAAGUGAUAAAAAUAAUAAUUAUUUUAUAUAUACAUCACAUAUUUCACAUAUUUUAUUUUAAAAUAUCUCCAGUCUAUAGCUUACAGCUACAACAAAUUUAACUACAGCAAAAGUUUCUGCAAAAAUAAUCUACAGUAACAACAUUACAGCUACAAUCAAUUUAUCUACAACUAAACUUUUACAGCUAAAAUUCUACAGCCACAGUCGAACCAAUCAUCACCUUUGACUUUUAUCUUCCAUAUGGUUUUGAAAGCUUUCAAAUCAACCAUCGAAUUGAUACAUGUCAUUUUAAUGUUUUUAGUCGUAUACUUAAGGAAAACUUAUAUUUUUGUAAUUUAAAGUCGUUUUAAAAAAAUUCAAAAUAUAAAAUAUAAGAAAAUUCUAACAUAUAAGAAAAAUAUAACAUAUAAGGUGUCCUCAUUUGUGUAUUUUAAAGUCGUUUUAAAAAAAAAAUAUAACAUAUAAUGUUUCCUCAUUUUUGUAAUUUAAAGUCAUUUUAAAAAAUUCAAAAUAUAACAUAUAAGAAAAAAUCUAAUUUUUUUAUUAUAUGGCUAAUGUGAUUGUUUAAUUUUUUUUAAUAAUAUAAAUUUAAACAAAAAUGAAGAAGGAUGCAAAAAUUGUUAUCAAAUAUUUAUUAUUUAUAAUCAUUAAUUGCCAUAUAUAUGUAAAUCAUAUUAGGUAAUUCCGUAGCUUUUAUUUAAGGAAAGAAUACACACUUCCUAUAUUUUAGGUUAAUAUAAUGUUCUCUAGUGUUAUAUAAUUAUGGAAUAAUGUGACACCAUUAGAUUAAACUAUACUCUAUAUUAGAUGCUCUAGAAUUCUUUGAAAUGGAAUUUAGAAGGCAUUUAGAGUGUCACCUAGGAUUUGAGGUUUUUUUUAAUUAAUACAAAAUUAAGGUUGUAAUUUUUCAAAUGCUUCUCAAUUAAUAUAUAGGGGAUAUAUAUAAGUCCAUCGUAUAUAUUCUUUCACUUUGAUAUUAUUUCACAACAAUAAUUAUUGUCUUGUUUUUACGUAUAGAUAUGUAAUGAUUUGUGCUUGCGUUUCACUCCAUACAUGAAUGAGAUUUUUUAUUGUCAAAUUAAGAAAAACUUAAAAGGGUAAAAUACAAACUCAUCUAAGAUCUUGAGAAUUUCUAGAGGAGAAUACAAACCCCAUUUAUAAAAAGACACAAACUGGUUCAUAACUUUGCUUGUAUUGCACUCCAAAACAGAAACCCUAAUCCAUGUCAAAGGAUUUGAUGAGCAUUUCCGUAGCAUCCGCUAAUGAACGGUGACUUCAUCAUGUUUGUAGCCAAGUCUGAUGAAUUCUGAGGAUAGAAUUUGUACAGCUUCAUGUUUUCAGAGGCAUGCUGGCCUAGUAGCGAGUCGUCUCAUUCUUUCUAUCGAUCUCCUAUCUCUAGCCGCUUGGUGAGCUACCUUUCCUACUCGAACACGCUCUUCGACAAGCUCUUUGAACUCGUCUUUUUAUUCCUCAGACAACCCUUCAAAUUUGAAAAUUGCGUCAGCAAACUCCUCAAACACGUAACCGGGGGGUCAGAGGGGAACAUUAUGUACACCUCAGUACUACUCUCUUCAAUAUCAUCUUCCUCCGAUUCAGAGAAAUAAGCAAGGCAAUACUCAAUCUUCUCAACACGUUCUUCCUUUUUGUUUCUGAGAGCUGCUCUCCGAUUGUUACAGAACAAAGUAAAGAUCCGAGAGCUUGUCUUCUCAACUUGUCUAUCUCUUUCUUCUAAUGGAAUGUAAGGAACCCAUCCCGUUCUCAUCGUAAUGGUUCCUUCUUCUGUUGCGCUCUGAAUGGAUCUCUUUAGAAGGCUCAGUGUUUGAUUCGAUGACAACAACCGUUGGGACAUUGACAAAAAAGUAUUCUUGAUCCUUGUCAAGACAGUGUUGAAGGUUCUGCAAACCCUAAAACAUAAACUUCUUCCCGUGGAGAAAACCCUCGUUCCUCCAAGGCUUCUUCUAGAUGUUUGAAGUCCCAGUUGAGUCCGCAGAGUGCAUCAGUUCCCACCGGAAACGCAGCUUUCCACAAAUAUUCUAGGUUACGUUUCUCCUUUAAGUACUCCUCUGUCUCUUUGUCUUGUUGUGGUUUUGUCACUCUCCAUUUCUUGUUACCCACGUUACCAUUCUUCUUCUCAGUUUCCUUGUUCGUGCCCCUCUUUCUCUUACCAUCACCACGACGAGCAGACAUCAUCUCGUCGUUUUGAAUCUCCUCCGCAAGCUCACCUUUGCGGCCUCUUACGAAUCUCCGACGAGCAGUCAGAUAAACGAAACCCUAACUCUUUCAGCAAGGAAGCGAGACAAUUGAAUGAUUUGUGUCGUUCCAUUAGCCAAUAUGUAUAGAACAUUGAAAUCGUACUGAGAAAAGGAAAGAUGAUUCCGUAAAAGAAGGAAAACUCAUAUCAUUUGAGUAUAUUUCCAUUUUCGGAAAGAAAAGACCCUACAAAUUGUUUGUUUGUUUUUUGCUUAUUUGGCUUAUUUUUUCAACGCAGCUAAGAAGAAAAUUAGGAUCUACUUAUCAUUGAUUAAUCACUUUUCUCGAUAUUCAUCUGGUCACCAAAAAAAAACAGUUCAAAUGGGACCAGAACCUUCGACCUCAUUCCUCAAUGUUUUCUCUUUAGUUACUUCUCCACUGUCUGUGGCCAGGGAUCCAUUUCGGACACUUGGGGAUACAACUAGAUAUUACACAAGUUUAUAUAAAGUCUAUCAUGCUACAAAUUCUAGAUGUAUGGGCAGAUGGCCUUGACUGCAACUUAGGCUUGAGUUCGCUAACAAAACUCUCUUGAGUAACUUUUUACAUAAAGUUCACUAAGCUAUAGCCAAGGAACAAGAAUAUUCGAUGACUAGUUGACCAAUCAAUAGUAGUCAUAGCGGCCCUUUGUAUGACCGGUUAACGAAAUCGAAAUCGAAAUCGACAUGGUAACAAACAGGCUCUAUUUCGGCUUUGUAUGACCGGUUAACGAAAUCGAAAUCGACAUCGACGUGAACUUCAUACUAUCAUCAACGUAAAAAGCCGACAAAGUCUGGUUUGCCAUCACCAUAUUCAUGUGUACGUCAGUUUUAAAAAAUAUAUAUAUAUAUUCAUGCGUACGUAAGAAUAUUGGUGCUUCAUCAGGUGUAUAACAACGGUUUUAUAAUCUCCGCAAAAAGUCGACUCUUUAUAACCCAAUUUCGUAAUUUAUAAAAGGGAAAUCGCCAAAAAUAUUAUUUUUCAAAAUACCAAUUUUCAUGUUUACACUAACUACUUUUACUCUCAUGUUUAAUGAAGGGUAAAAGACAUUUAUAUCUUUUUGAUUACCUUGGACAAAAAAAAAAUAUAUGGUUAACUAAUCAAAACUUAAAACAUCAACUCUAAACCCUAAUCAUCAACUCUAAACCCUAGACCAUAAAACAUCAACUCUAAACCCUCAACCAUGAAACAUCAACUCUAAACCCUAAAUCCCGAAACAUCAACUCUAAACCCUAAACCCUAAAAUUUCAAAUCUAAAUCCUAAAACAUCAACUCUAACCCUAAACGUAAACGUAAACCCUAAACCCUAAAUCUAAACUUAAAACAUCAACUUUAAACCUAAAUCAUCAACCCUAAACCCUAAACCAUGAAACAUCAACUCUAAACCCUAAACCCCGAAACAUCAACUCUAAACCCUAAACCCUAAACCUUCAAAUCAAAACCCUAAAACAUUAACUCUAAACCCUAAACGUAAACCUUAAACCUUAAACCUUAUAUUUUUCUGAAGUUCGAACCCUAAACCCUAAAACCCUAAACCUUUAAAUCUAAACCCUAAAACAUCAACUCUAAACCCUAAAUGUAAAUCCUAAACCCUAAAUCUUCAAAUCUAAACCCUAAAACAUCAACUCUAAGGUUUUAGGGUUUAGGGUUUAGGGUUUAGGGUUUAGGGUUUAGAGUUGAAGGUUUAGGGUUUAGGGUUUAGAGUUGAUGUUUUAGGAUUUAGGGUUAAUUUUUUAGGGUUUAGGGUUUAGAGUUUACUUUUUAGGAUUUAGGAUUUAGUGUUGAUAGUUUAGGGUUUAGUGUUGAUGGUUUAGGGUUUAGAGUUGAAGUUUAGGGUUUAGAGUUGAUGUUUUAGGGUUUAGAGUUGAAGGUUUAGGGUUUAGGAUUUAUGGUUGAUGUUUCAGUGUUUAGGGUUUAUUUCAAAAAAAUAUAGGGUUUAGGAUUGAUGGUUUAGGGUUUAGGGUUCGUAUUUAAAAAAUAGGGUUUAGGGUUUAAAGUUGAGUUUUAAGGUUUAGGGUUUGAAUUUCGAAACAGUAUAAUUCAGAAAAAAAAUUAAAAAUUAUUUUUUAUUUUUUUAGAUUUUUAUUUAUUUAAAUAUUGAUUUAUUGUAUAUAUAAAGAAUAUGUGCAUAUUAGUCUUUUGCCACUUAAUAAAGAAAGUUUUUUGAAAAUGUCUUUUUAAUGGUGAUAAAAAUAAAGAGUGGUAGCAUGAAAAUGGUAAACACGUGAUUUAUCCUUUAUAAAACAACACUUUUCUCAGCGCAUUUAGCUUCAAUUUCUAAAGAUGAUAAUGUUGUUGAACCAACCCUUUAAGAAAACGUUUCUAGCUCUAAUAUAGAUGAUCCAUCCUAUUCCAGCUUUUUGUAGGUUUCAGAUCCAAAUGCUGUGUUUUUAUUUAUUUUUACUCAUGAUUCUAAUUUCCACUUUAUCAUUGAAUAGAAUUGGAGUAUUUCAUUACAAAAAUAUUCUAUUUUCAAAAAGAAAUAGAAUUCUGCAUUAUGUUCUUACGGUCUCUUGGUAUCCUCUAGACUAUAUUUGCGAAGUGAUUUUGCCACAUGUCCUCUCUACAAUCAAUUUCACAAAACAAAUAUGACAUGGCUACUGAAAUUGAUGACAUGGCUUCCGUAAAAAUAUGACAUGGAUAAUUUCAUUUAAUGUUGAUUUAUAUUUUUGGCAAACUUAUUAGAAUAUGGUAAUAAUUCAUAUAUUAUAUUUAAUAUUGAUAUUUCUUUUUGGUAAAUUUUUUUAAAAUACGGUAAUAGCUCAUACAUCAUCUAUAAAAUAAAUAUAUUCAUAUAUAACAUUUCAAAUUUCGAAAUAUUAUUAUUUUGGUAUAAUUAUCCAAUUUGUAUUACUAAAGCUUUCAAAAAUUCCUACAUUUUUAAAAAAAUUUAAAUAUCUAAUCGUAAGAUCAUUAGUUUUUUAUAUACCUACAAAUUUUAUAAAUAUUAUUUAGGCUAAAAUUUUGAUAAUUAUAAAAUUUUAUAUCAUUUUUAUUAGUUUUAUACAAAUUGAUUUAAUAUAUAUCAAAUCUAUAUUAAAUAUUAGUAAGAAAAUAGUAAAAUCUAUAAUAUUUAAUAAAAUUUAUUUUUAAAUAUAAGUUAGAUUAAAAAAUUUAUUUACUGUUGCACAUGGUGCAGGAAAACACCUAGUAUCACAAUAUCCGAGGAGUGUGUGUACAAUGCACAUUUUCUAGCAUAAAAUUGUGCAAUAUAGAGAAAUAUUUUGUAUCUUCCUAACCACUUAUUAUUGGGAAAGAUGGUGAUUAGCAGUUUUAUGUUUAUUUUUGGAGUGGUGGUUUAGCGGUUUCCACUAUCCCCAUCUAUUAUUGGACGUUGAAAUCGAUAUCAUGUGUUAUUACUUAUUAUUCUCCUUAUAACUAUAUUUUAUAGAUUAAUACCUUUGUUUAAUAGUUCCAAAUUUUAGUUUUGUAAAUAACAGUUAUAAAAUCCAAAAUUGACUAAGACUAACUCCAAAACUAAAAAACAAACUCUUUCAUUUAAUUAAAAGGUUUAAAAACUACUAUUUAGAUCAUAUAUAAUUUUACAUCAGAAUGAAAAUUUACUAUAUUCAAACUAAAAAUAUAGAUUAUUUCUUCAAGUGUUCUUUGUUUAUCAGGGUUUAUUGCUAUUCCUUAAUUUGAGAUUUUUUUUAUUUUAUGUAUUUUUAUGAAAUUUUUCAAACUGUCGGCUUUGUAUCUCAUAUAGAAAACAAAGUUAAACGGAAAAAUACUGGAAAAUUUGAAAAAUUAAUAAAAUUAAUUUUAAAACAUGAAAACACAAAAAAUAUUUUAGAAGAUCAUUAAAAUAUGAUUAUUCCGUCACAUAUUCUUUGUUUAUCGGGUUUUGUUUGUUAUUUUAUAAUUUAGGAUCUUGUUUUAUUUAAUGGGUUUCUAUUUCUGAAAUUUUCAAAACUGUCAACUUUGUAUCCCAUAUUGAAAACAAAUCUAAAAGGAAAUAUACUGGAAAAACAGAAGAAAAAAACUAAUUUUAAAACAUGAAACCAAAUUCUUUUUUGAGAAGUUAAUAUGUUAUUUUUAUUAUCAAUUUGUUUAAUAGUUUUCAAUUUUAGUUUUGUAAAUAAUAGACAAACUCCAAAAAAGAACUCUUCCGUAUAAUAAACAGAUUCUAAAAAUAGAAAUUAAAUCUUAUAUAAUUUUCAGAUCGAAAAAUUCAUAAUAUUUAAAUUAAUUUGAGAAACUUUAUAUGAUUAUUCCGUCACGUGUUAUUUGGUUAUCAGAUUUUGUUUGUUAUUCCCUAAUUUGGGGAUUUUCUUAUUUUCUUGGUUUGCGUUUCCGGAAUUUCCGAAACUGUCGGCUUUGUAUCCCGUAGUGAAAACAAAGUUAAACAAAAAAUAUUUAGAAAAUUCGAAAAAAUAACAAACUACUUUUAAAACAUGAAACAAAAAAAGAUUUGAGAAUAUCAAUAUGUUAUUAUUAAUUUUAUGAUCUAAAUAAUUUAUUAAUAUAUGCAAUAUUAUAUUAAUAUAUUAUAAUCUAAACUAACAGUGAAAUAUAUAAAAUAUAAGAAAAAUUCUAAUUUUACCACAAAUACAUGGCGCCGAAAAAGGUCGUGAUCGCCCUGUGGGCGCCGAAAAGGGCUUGCUACUUUCAAAUUUACCUUUAAAUGACUACAUUUUCUUAAAAUUCUUAAUUUUGUGAUAAAAAAAAACUAACCCUCCUAAGUUAUUUAUAAAUGUUUAAGAAUUAUUUAUGUAAGUUUAUAAACUCAAUUCACCUCUUAAAUAAUAACUCAUUAAACACUAAAUCCAUAUGUUAGAGUAUUUUUGAUUGAUUGCACUUUUGAAAAUUGGUAUCCAAUUUAUGGUAUUCAAGGAAUUUUUCUAAAAUUUAUUGCAAAAUAUAAAACUAGAUUAACAAUGAAGCUAUAUAUUCAUUACAUUUCAUGGCCUAAAUCAUAGGGUCGGACUUAUAAUGUAAGGUAUAGGCUACAAUGUACUCUCUAACCUUUUUAUUUUUAAAAUCCAAUACAUUACAUUGUAUUAACUAAUGUCAUAUUCACGUCAAUCACAUCUAGUUAUAUAUUUUAUAGAACAAUACGAUUUUAUGUAUAUGUUGAUGACAAAAAAAAAUACGAUUUAUGAAUUAUAAACUUUUACAUAACAUACAUCAAUUUGAUACAACAAUUCAACUAAUUUCAAUUGAAUCCAGAUUGAUAUUAGAUGAAAAUUAUAAAAGAAUGUAAAUUAAUUUAAUUAAUGUGCAUUCAACAUAAAAAAGUAAAGAUAAAUAUUAUUAAUCUAAUUAAUUACAUGUAAGUUUGAGAGAUUUAGAGAUUUAGAGAUAGAACAUGAAACAUUUAAAUUGUAAAUUUCUAACUUUAUUUGUAUAUCAAAAUCAAUUUUGAAAUGUUCAACAAGAGUUAGUUUACAACAAGUUCUAAGUUGUAUAUGUGUUACAUAUAAUGAUUUUCUUAUAGUUUUUUUAUUUCAUCGAAAUGAAAGUUUAUAAUGAAUGACAAACAUAGUCAGGAUUAAUAGUCUAUAUAGAUUUAUUACAACUAUACUUUUGAAGUUGAUGAUUUUAAAUAUAAAAAAUAGUGAAACUGAUAUUUCUGUAUAAAUAUUCUGAAUUAUGUCUUUAAAUUUGUAAAAAUAUAUAUGUUGAUAAGUAUUUUUUUUAAAUAAAUAAAAAUAUUUUAUCACAAAGCAAAAUUUGUAAGAUUUAGCUGAUUAUUUUCUAUUGUGCUAUAAAAGUUGAAAAUGCCAUCUUAUCAAAAUAAAUUUUGAGCGAAAAUAAAAUACAUUGCUAAAUUUUCAAUCAAAAUAUAAUUAUUUUUAAAUUCAUUUUUGAAUGUUAUUCUGCUGGUUGAACUUCAUUUUAACUUUAACAGGGAUGAUAAAGUCCAGUUAUGUGAACUGUAUAUACGUAUAUUUUUAUUAGUCUCUUAAUUUUAUUUUGUUUUACUAAAAAAGUUUUUAAAUUUAUGAAAUACACAGACCCCACUGCUAUAACUGAAUUUAUCUUGUGAAUCACAGAUGCGUUAUGAUUUUUCCAAUAAAAGUCCCAAUAAUUACAGGGACCCAGCAGACUAAUCAAAAUUGGAAAACAAAUACUACGUCGACAAAAAAAAAAAAAAAAAGAAAGGAAAACAAAUACUACAAAAUAAAACUAAAAGCAAAUGGUAUCACAAAAACAAUUCGAUCAAAAAACAAAAAAAAAGCAAAUGGUAUCACAAGUAUCACGCGUGUGAAGCUGCAUGAGCCACACGUGGGCCAAUCUAAUAACUGGUAACCUUCUGCGUCUCUCACAGUAUAAACAGAACAAACGACCGCUACGAACCAAGUGACAACUCAUCUCCAGGUAACCGGUAUAAAAGGACCCACAUAUAAUCCACGUGUAACGAAUCUAUUAGUUACCGUCAAGUAGAAACCGGUCCCCCUAUUGGUUAACGUAAUCAUUAUCUCAAUUUUGGGACCUACUGUACUGUGGACCGCGUGACCCUCUCACAGUGGCAGAAUAGUAAUUCUCUCUUCAACUAUGACUUAAUAAAAUUAAAUAAUCUCUUUGUUGAUCAUAUUUUAAGAUAAUUAUUUUAAAAUUUUGUUUUUACCUCAUCCUGAGGUAUAAUGACCAUAUUGAUAUCUAUUUAUGAUUUCUAAAUGGAUUUCAUUUUCUUUAAAUAAAAUCUUAGCCAAGAGAAAGAUUUUAAGUAGAGAAAGACUGUUCUCAAAAUAAAAUAAAAAUAAAAAAAUAGAGAAGGACUAAUUGUUCUUUAGACGAAGGAUGACUUUUUUUUACUGGCACGUAAUUUAGCGGUUACGUAUUUAGCGGUUAUUUAUUUCCCUUUCAUGCAAAGCCUUAUGUGACUCAAAGCUUGUUGGCACUUUAUAUUUUUAUUAAAAAAUUCAUGGUCAGAUAUUGUAAAUGUUUAUGUCGUCUUUUUUUUUUUAAUUGAAUUGUGUUUGCUUCUACACUGAUAAACUUAAUAUUAUAGUGAAGAACUGGUAUCAUUAAUAUAAAAAUGUAUCAUAAAUAUUUUAAGAUAAUUUCAGAAAUUUUUUGAUCUAAUAUUUUUGCUAAAGUAUUUGACAUUUGUUUUGUCGAAAAAGAAAAAAUGGUCCAAAAAUACAAAAUUUUAGAACUCCUGUCUCUUUAGAAAAAAAUUCUUCAACUGUAACUACUUAAGAUAACAUGUAUUUUCUAAGAAGCUUUCACCACCAACAAAUACAAAAAUACAUAUAUAUAUAUAUAUAUAUAUAAUCAUAUGAUGAAGCAUUCUAUAUUACUCCUUAAACUAUCAAUUUCUAACCAAAAAAAAAUCAAUUUCUAACAUCUAAUUCAUACUCAUUAGGUGUUGGAUUACCCUGCAAUCAAAGUUAAUUAUGUAUACAUCACAUCCCUAUAUGUAUAUAUGUAUAUAUGUAUAUUUCAUGCUAUAAUAUAAAUAUGCGUUUCCACAUUAUUAGCUAAAUACAAAUAUAUAUAAGGUCAAAAUAUCAAUUAAUUUUUUUUACUUUCCAGUAAUUAUUUUUAAAAACAAUGAUAGACUAAUUCAAAAUUAAAAUUUGUAUGCCUCUAGACUCUAGUCCUCUUAAUCAUCUACAAGCUUAACAAUCCAACUGUAAGAACCUUCAAGAUGUCUUAGUUGUUAAUACACAUGUGUAAUUUUGAAUAAUUAUUUAUUAAUACAACUAGCAUUCUCUUAUACACUUAGAAUCAUUAUUAUUUAUUUUAUUUUUUUAGCCAAGGUUCUUAGUGUUUUAAAGCUAUUUUCAGGUUGUCCAACCACUUAUUUUGUUAUUAAUUCUCUACAUGGAUUUUUUUAACUCUAUAAAUCAAUAUAUAAUUUCCAUUUUUUCAUUAGUUUUCUUAACUAAAAAUCAUAAUCACGUUAACCAUAUAUAUUACGUAUGGCCCCACUUUACUCACCAACAAAGGAUAAAAACGUAAAUUGCUUUAUUCCUCCUCCUUUAAUAUGUAUAUCCUCUCUACAACAAUUGUAACAUCGCCGUAAAAAGGAACUCUGGAAGCAAAAAUAAAUCUCUAUCUGUAUUAGUCAAAAGCUAUGGAGAAACUCAUCUACCGAAUAACCCUUCUCUUCACCACUCUCUUCCUCUCAUUCUCUCUCUCGUCACCGUCUUGUCCGACGAUCCACGACGUUCUUCGAUCAAAAGGUCUCCCCGCGGGACUGUUACCGCAAGAGGUUGACUCUUACACUCUUGACAACGACGGUCGUCUCGAGGUUUUCCUUGCGGCGCCUUGUCUCGCCAAGUCCGUGACGGGAAUGCGCUUCGACUCUGUAGUGAGAGCGAAUCUGAGCUACGGAAGCCUUGUCGGAGUAGAAGGAUUGUCGCAGUUCGAGCUGUUUUUGUGGCUGUCGGUGAAAGAUAUUGUCGUCAAGAAACCUGACACCGGCGUCAUUAUAAUCGAUAUCGGCGUUGCUUAUAAACAACUUUCCCGUUCUCUCUUUGAAGAUCCUCCCAAGUGUUUACCUCACGGUACCAAAAACGUUUUUAACUUUCUUAGAUUUUUUAAUUAUUUAUUUUCAUUUUCUUGAUAUAGUUUCCAUCAUCUUAAUUAACGGUAAACCAUGUAUUUAAAUUAUGCAUAUCUACAAUUUUGUGUUUUAUAUCUUACUCGUUAAAACUGGAUUUCGUGUAGGUAUAAUCUAACUCCUAAAUCAUAACAGGUUUUUGAAUCUGAUCUAAGAUUUUUUUUUAAUUUCCUUUUUCAUAAUUAUCUACCUGAUUUAAUUUUUAUCCAAACAAAAUUUAAAUAUUUCUAACAACAGAAAAGAUCUAAUUCCAUAGAUUUUAUCAGAUCUGUUAUUGUUGUUAAUUUACAACAACUAAUAUUUUCACAAGAAUUAGUUAGUUUUUGAAUAACAUAAAUGUUACAAAUUAGAGUUAGUUGGAGUAUAAUUAUACGGUUGUGCUUCAAUUCUCGUCAAAAGCUAAAUAAGUUGAUUCUUACAGUAAUAUAAAUAUCUCAAAUUAAUAUCACUUUUUGGUCUAGUGUUCAUCAAAAUGUAAUGGUGUAGCCUAAUUUAAAACCAAAUACUGUAGAAAUGAGAGUUGGUUUUCCAAAACUGAGUUCAUCUACAAUGGGAAUAUAUAAGUGUUGCAGUGAAGUCAUGGGCUCGGAUUGUGUGUGUGUUUUUAGACGACUUUGAAAACUCUUUUGGAUUUUAUUGUCUGAAUAUAUUUGCCAGUUUCAAUAUGAGUCUUGUCUCUGUAACUGCUGACAUAACAUUUACUUUCCUUUCUUAUUUUAUUAGAAUAAGGGGUAUAUUCCAUCAGUAACUUUUAUUUUAUUUUACCAUACUAUGAGAUGAAUACAAAAACAUGUGAAUAUAUAUUCUAUAAUCUUAUACAUUUUUCUUUUUCUUUCUGGAUGACAUAUUAAUCUUGUAAGCUUGGAUUUCUGUUUCAGGCGAUUUGAAGAAAAAGAUGAGAGGAUACGGAGGAUUUGAAGCUCUCAAGAUGAAAAAUUUAAAAGAAGGGUGGAGAUCUCGAUUGUUCUUUUGAUUGAUUCCAUAUAUAUUAUGCACUAAUCAGAAAAACCAGUAUGCUAAUUAUAUGAGUCGGUUAGGUUUUUGUUUGAGAGUUCUUGUAAAGAAAAGAUUCUCAAUGUUCUAUCCUAUGUUUUUGUUUCUAGUUUAUAAUUGCUGUUUUCAUUAUCUUCGACUAAAUUGAUGAUGUUUUGAUAGUAAUUUAUGUGAUUUGUUAAGUAAUUACUUACAAAGUCCAACUGGUUAUAAUGGUUUGGUAGUUAGCGGUUUCUGAUGCGUUUAUAUAGUUAUCAACUUAUAUAUGUACAAGGUUGUAACAAAAAAAUUGUGAGGCUUUGAUUGUGGGAGUAUGAGAGAAAUCCCGAAAACGGGUAUUACUUUAAUUUGCCAAAGAACAAUAAUUGGGAUUAAUCUCACAAAUGAGACAUCGUGUGUUUCUUUCAUGAUCUCGAAAGAACGUGUAUCAGACCUUACUAGCUAUGGUGACUUUACUGGCUAGCUUUUCUAGUAGUGCUAGAUAGUAGGACUACAUAUGGGUUAACUUUUGCAUACGGCAUGAAUAAGAAAGAUCACAGAAAACUUGAAGAUUUGGGUUUGAACUGGAUCAGCCUCUGUUAAUUAUUUAAUGGUGUAAAGUGUAAACUCUCUUUCCGCAGGAAAUCGAACUAGGAACACACAAACUAACUCUUCUUGCUUAAAUCAUUGUUUGAUUGUGGUUUUUUGCUAUCAAUCGUGGAUUACUUAUAGCUUACUAAGUGAUACAUAUAAUACAAUUAUGGAUGCGUUAUUAGUUGGUACCUUUUAUAUAGCCUUAGGGAAAAAAAUAAUGAAAAAUUUAAUAGAUAUACCAUUCACUACAAUAAAACAAAUGCUUAACAACGAAAUUUAACGAGGAAAAACAAUCCUCGUAAAUUUACGUCGAGUUUACGAGGAAUUUAAGUGAAAAACUAAAGUCAUCGUUAUUUCCUCGUAACGUAACGACAAAAGUGUUUCGUCGUAAAGUGGAUGUAAUUUUACGAGUAUUUUACGAGGAAAAACUAUUUCCUCGUAAAUACGACGUAAACUUUGCGUGUUAUUUACGAGGAAAUAGUUUACGUGUAUUUAGUGAGUAAAAAGAUUUAAACAAAACACUCGUUAAUUCCACGUAAGCAGAAAUCGUCGUAAACACCACGUAAAAGGAUUUAAACAUAAAACCCGUUAAUUCCACGUAAGUACAAAUCGUCGUAAAUAUCUCGUAGUGUAAAAACAAGAAAAAAAGGAAAAGGAGAGAAAUACCAGAUUAACAUGUGGCAAGACUUCCAGCAAUUAUAAUACGUAAGUCUCGCCCACAUUAAUUCUAAUAUCUUCUCCUUUUCCUAUUUUUUUCAAAUAUUUAUAAUUUGAAUAGGAUUUUGCUGAGGAAUGUGAUUUGAGAUAAGGUGUGAUUUGGGAGUUUGUGUGUGGUUUAAGAAUGAGAGUUGUGGAUAUAUUUAUAGGAAAGCAAGCCUCGUUAAUUCCUCGUAAGCUAAAUCGUCGUUAAUACCUCAUAUAAAAAAACACGGGCCUUUGUGAUUCCUCACAAUUUCCUCGUAAAAAAAAACACGGGCCUUUGUAACUGCUCGCGAUUUCGUCGUAAACUUACGAGGAAUUUGCGACGAUAUGUAAUCUUAUAUAUACACCCGAGCGCUCACUCUUUCUUUCCUCUCUACUUCCUCUCUACUUCCUCUCCAUUUCGUAGCAAUGGUAAGCCUCUCUGAUUCCUCUCUAAUUUGGUUAGUUUAGGAUAGAUUAGAUGGUUAGCAUAGGGAAUUUAGAUAGGUUUGCGGAUUUUAUGUUAUUUAGUGUUGAUUAGGUGGAUAAUGUUGGGAAAUAUAUUGUUGAUUUGUAGAGAGAGAGAUGGAAGGGUUUGGCGACUUUCUUUUUAUAAGUAAUAACCUCUAAUGUUUUUUUCUACUUACAUGGUUCAGUUUGACGAGUUUUAUUGAAAAAACUAUAUUUUCAUACAAUUUGCAACUUAUGCUAUGUUUUGGGUUUGCAUAUGAUUUUUAAAUGAAUAUAUACAGUUUUGAUAUAUUAGAUGGUAAAGAUGCAAUGUUUUUCUAGGAAUAUAGAAAAUAUGUCCCUUAUAUAUCUCUUUUUAUCAUUAGGUUAUAGUAUAUAUAUAUAAAUAUAUAUAUAUAUAUAUAUAUAUAUUUAUAUAUAUAUACUAUAACCUAAUGAUAAAAAGAGAUAUAUAAGGGACAUAUUUUCUAUAUUCCUAGAAAAACAUUGCAUCUUUACCAUCUAAUAUAUCAAAACUGUAUAUAUUCAUUUAAAAAUCAUAUGCAAACCCAAAACAUAGCAUAAGUUGCAAAUUGUAUGAAAAUAUAGUUUUUUCAAUAAAACUCGUCAAACUGAACCAUGUAAGUAGAAAAAAACAUUAGAGGUUAUUACUUAUAAAAAGAAAGUCGCCAAACCCUUCCAUCUCUCUCUCUACAAAUCAACAAUAUAUUUCCCAAAUAUUUCUUCGUAAAUACGACGUAAACUUUGCGUGUUAUUUACGAGGAAAUAGUUUACGUGUAUUUAGCGAGGAAAUUUUUGAACCCACCAACUUUGUAGGUGUUACACUUUUUUUUUGGCCACCUAAUUAAUUUUCGUCUUAAAUUCAUAGGAAACUUGCAACUACCAGAUUCAAAAUUUCCUAUAAAUAUGGAUGUUUGAACAUCAUUUUAAACACACCAACAACAAAAAACGUGAAAGAAAAAAAAAUGGCUGGCUCCGGGACUAUUUACGAGUUGCGGAAGUGGAUGUAUAUGCAUAGAGAUGCUAACGGGAGAGUGACGAAAGAAUACCUUGCGGGUCUGGAGACAUUUAUGCAUCAAGCAGAUUCAACAACGCUCGCCCAAGAAAGUGGUAAGAUGUUAUGUCCUUGUCGGAAAUGCAACAAUUCGAAACUGGCAAACCGUGAAAUUUUUUGGAAGCAUUUAAUAAAUAGAGGUUUCACGCCAAAUUACUAUAUCUGGUUUCAACAUGGAGAAGGUUUUAAUUAUGAUCAGAACGAAGCUAGUAGUAGUAAUAGCAAUUUUCAGGAAAAAAAAACCGGUUGAUCAUCAUUUGCAUAAUGAACAUAGUUACCAUCAGGAGGAGAUGGUAGAUUAUGAUAGGGUUCAUGAUAUGGUAGCUGAUGCAUUCGUAGCUCAUGAUGAAGAUGAAGAACCUAAUAUAGAUGCAAAAAAGUUUUACGAAAUGUUAAACGCGGCGAAUCAACCACUUUACAGUGGUUGUAGAGAAGGUCUCUCUAAAUUGUCGUUAGCUGCUAGAAUGAUGAAUAUUAAAACUGAUCACAAUCUACCUGAAAGUUGCAUGAACGAAUGGGCGAACUUGUUUAAAGAGUAUUUGCCGGAAGACAAUGUGUCUGCUGAUUCUUAUUAUGAGAUUCAGAAACUGGUUUAUAGUCUUGGGUUGCCUUCGGAGAUGAUAGAUGUUUGCAUCGACAACUGCAUGAUCUAUUGGGGAGAUGAUGAGAAGCUAGAAGAAUGUCGAUUCUGCAAGAAGCCACGAUUCAAGCCGCAAGGACGGGGACGUAAUAAGGUACCGUACCAAAGGAUGUGGUACCUACCAAUUACAGACAGAUUGAAAAGAUUGUAUCAAUCAGAGCAGACUGCUGGAAAGAUGAGAUGGCAUGCCGAGCAUACUCAGACGGAUGGUGAGAUGACUCAUCCAUCAGAUGCAAGAGCCUGGAAACAUUUCAACAAAGUACAUCCGGAUUUCGCUAGCAAUAUCCGGAAUGUGUAUCUCGGAUUAUGCACAGAUGGAUUUAGUCCGUUCGGAAUGUCAGGGAGACAAUAUUCAUUGUGGCCAGUCUUUCUUACUCCAUACAACCUGCCACCGGAGAUGUGCAUGCAACGGGAGUUACUAUUCUUGACCAUAUUAAUACCUGGUCCGAACCAUCCAAAAAGGUCCCUGGAUGUUUUCCUACAACCACUGAUAAAAGAGUUGAAGGAUUUGUGGUCAACAGGGGUGAGAACGUAUGACUGUUCAACGAAGACGAAUUUUACGAUGCGAGCGAUGCUUUUGUGGACCAUAAGUGAUUUUCCUGCCUAUGGGAUGUUGUCUGGAUGGACUACACAUGGGAGAUUAGCUUGUCCAUAUUGUAAUGGAACGACAGAUGCGUUUCAACUGAAGAAUGGUAGGAAGACAAGUUGGUUUGAUUGUCACCGUCGAUUUCUUCCCAUUGGCCAUCCUUACCGAAGAAACAAGAAUUUGUUUAGGCACAAAAGGGUUGUGAGAGACACUCCUCCUCCAUAUCUAACUGGAGAACAUAUUGAAGCGCAAAUCGACUACUACGGAGCUAACGAAACAGUUCGUUGGGGUGGUAAUUGGUAUGUCCCUCGUAAUAUGCCAGAUUCUUACGGUGUUCAUCACAACUGGCACAAGAAGAGUAUAUUUUGGGAGUUUCCAUAUUGGAAGGAUCUUCUUCUGCGCCACAACCUCGAUGUGAUGCAUAUAGAGAAGAAUUUCUUUGAGAACAACAUGAAUACAAUAUUGAAUGUCCCAGGGAAGACAAAAGACAACAUAAAAUCAAGGUUGGACUUGCCGGAUAUUUGCUCAAGAAGCGAGUUACAUAUUAAAAGCAAUGGACAAGUUCCCGUUCCGAUAUUCAGAUUAUCUUCAGAAAAAAAAUCGGUGUUGUUCAACUGAGUGGCAUCAGAAGUGAAGUUCCCCGAUGGGAAUGUUUCGAAUCUCUCUAGAUGUGUUGAAAAGGGUCAAAAGUUCUCCGGGAUGAAGAGUCAUGAUUGUCAUGUCUUUAUGCAACGACUACUGCCCUUUGCAUUUGCGGAGCUACUUCCAACAAACGUACAUGAAGCACUUGCAGGUACGUAGUGUAUUAUAUCACAAUAAUUUACAAAAUAAUAUAUGACUAACAAUGUGUUUAAUUUUUUUUUGAAUAUAAAAGGCAUUGGAGCAUUUUUCAGGGAUCUGAGCACACGCGCUUUUAAAGAAGAAGUUGUGGAACAGCUUCAGGAGAACAUUCCCAUCUUAUUGUGCAACUUGGAGAAGAUAUUUCCUCCCGGAUUUUUUGACGUCAUGGAGCAUCUAGCUGUCCACCUCCCAUAUGAGGCAUUGCUUCGUGGACCUGUACAUUACGGAUGGAUGUAUCAGUAUGAGCGAGCCAUGAAAUAUUUGAAGGGAAAAGCAAAGAACCUCGCCAAAGUUGAAGGUUCUAUAACUGCUGGAAGUUUGACGGAAGAAGUUUCUCACUUCACAUCGUACUACUUUGCGUCAAAAGUACGUACCCGGAGAAGAGCUCCAAGAAGAUAUGAUGAUGGUGGUGUUGCGCCAACAUAUGCAGUUGCUGGUGUUCCAGACAUCUUUAGCCAGAUUGGACGACUCGGUGGGAAGUCUAAAUAGGUUUGGUGGUCGAGUAAACAAGACGCUCAUAGUGCACACACCUAUAUUCUAGUCAAUUGCGAAGAUCCAUUGAUGCGUUAUUUUGAAAGGUAACAUAUAUUGACACUUCGAAACACAUAUAAGUAUAAUUAAUUGUAUAAUUGCGAGAGAUUCAUUCCUAUAAAAUGUGAUUUUACAGCCUAUUUGUUUCUCAAGUCGAAGAAACAUUUCCUGGUAUAUCCACAAGUGACGUAGACAAAAGGAAAGAUCAACACUUCAUUAAGUGGUUGCGGAAUCAGGUAUUAACUCAAACUCUUUUUUCAUACAUGAUCUGUAUUUCAUUAACAUUCUCUUUAUUUUUGCAGGUUGAUUAUGACGAUGACGAUGCAGAUUAUCCUAAGUGGUUACACGAAGUAAUUCAAUCUCCACUUGUAAAGGUCACCACAUCACAGAUGUAUUUCACACGAGGCUAUACUUUUCAUACAUAUGACUAUGGUAGACAGCGGACGACCAGUAACUAUGGAAUAUGUGUGAAAGGGGAAGCAGAUUUCUACGGGAUCUUGACGGAGAUUAUUGAAAUCGAAUUUCCAGGGAUACUGAAGUUGAAAUGCGUCCUCUUCAAAUGUGAAUGGUUCGACCCCGUCGUCAACAGAGGUGUUCGGUCUAACAAAUUCGGUGUAGUUGAUGUCAAAGGUGGACGAAGGUACAACAAAUUCGAGCCUUUCAUCUUAGCUUCACAAGCAGACCAAGUUGGCUUCCUUCCAUACCCUCGGAUGAGAGAUUCAGGUAUAAAUUGGUUAGCAGUGAUCAAAGUUACACCUCGAGGACGAAUCAUCAGUGGAGAAGAACCACCAUUGCAAGAAGAACAGAUAAAUGAAGUCGAGGAACCUGAACAAGAAAUUGAUGACAUCCUUCUCAUUGAUCCGCAUAAUCACGAGUACGAAGAUCUUACCGAUGAUGCCACAGACGAAGCUGUUGAAGACGAGUUUAAUGAAAAUGAUGAUGUUUCUAGUGAUGACGAGAAUGUCGAUGUAUCCGAUUGAUGUAUUUGUUUUAUGAAUAAGAUGAGGGAGUUUGUUUUAUGAAUAAGAUAAUGUGGGGUUUGUUUUAUGAAUAAGGUAAUGUGGGAGUUUGUUUUAUGAAUAAGCAAAUGUGGGAAUUGUGGUUUGGAAUGGAAAUAAAGAUGGGGUUUGGAAUAUAUGAAGUAGAAAAUAAGGAAUAUGGGGUUUGGGGUUUGGGGUUUGGGGUUUCGGAUUCUAGGGAUUUAAACAUAACACUCGUUAAUUCCACGUAAGCACAAAUCGUCGUAACGUCCUCGUAGGUCAACGAGGACAUAACGACGAAAUAUAAAAAUAAAGAACGCGGGACUCGUUAAUUCCACGUAGGAUGAAAUCGUCGUAAAUACCACGUAGGAUGAAAUCGUCGUAAAUACCACGUAGGAUGAAAUCGUCGUACAUAUCACGUAAGACAACGAGGAAAUAACGACGAAACUUAAAAAUAAAGAUGGGGUUUGGAAUAUAUGAAGUAGAAAAUAAGGAAUAUGGGGUUUCAGAUUUGGGGUUUCGGGUUUCGGGUUUGGGGUUUCGGGUUUCGGGUUUCGGGUUUGGGGUUUCGGGUUUCGGGUUUCGGGUUUGGGUUCUAGGGAUUUAAACAUAACACUCGUUAAAAAUAACGACGAAACUUAAUAAUAAAGAUGGGGUUUGGAAUAUAUGAAGUAGAAAAUAAGGAAUAUGGGAUUUCGGGUUUCGGGUUUCGGGUUUCGGGUUUCGGGUUCUAGGGAUUUAAACAUAACACUCGUUAAAAAUAACGACGAAACUUAAAAAUAAAGAUGGGGUUUGGAAUAUAUGAAGUAGAAAAUAAGGAAUAUGGGGUUUCGGGUUUGGGGUUUCGGGUUUCGGGUUUCGGGUUUGGGUUCUAGGGAUUUAAACAUAACACUCGUUAAAAAUAACGACGAAACUUAAUAAUAAAGAUGGGGUUUGGAAUAUAUGAAGUAGAAAAUAAGGAAUAUGGGAUUUCGGGUUUCGGGUUUCGGGUUUCGGGUUUCGGGUUCUAGGGAUUUAAACAUAACACUCGUUAAAAAUAACGACGAAACUUAAAAAUAAAGAUGGGGUUUGGAAUAUAUGAAGUAGAAAAUAAGGAAUAUGGGGUUUCGGGUUUGGGGUUUCGGGUUUCGGGUUUCGGGUUUGGGUUCUAGGGAUUUAAGUCCUCGUAUGAUGAAAUCGUCGUAAAUACCACGUAGGAUGAAAUCCUCGUAAAUACCACGUAAAAGGAUUUAAACAAAACACUCGUUAAUUCCACGUAAGCAGAAAUCGUCGUAAACACCACGUAAAAGGAUUUAAACAAAACACUCGUUAAUUCCACGUAAGCAGAAAUCGUCGUAAACACCACGUAAAAGGAUUUAAACAUAAAACCCGUUAAUUCCACGUAAGUACAAAUCGUCGUAAAUAUCUCGUAGUGUAAAAACAAGAAAAAAACAAAUCCCUAAACCCCAAAUGUGCAAACCCUAAAAAAGAAAAGGAGAGAAAUACCAGAUUAACAUGUGGCAAGACUUCCACUAAUUAUAAUACGUAAGUCUCGCCCACAUUAAUUCUAAUAUCUUCUCAUUUUCCUAUUUUUUUCAAAUAUUUAUAAAUUGAAUAGGAUUUUGCUGAGGAAUGUGAUUUGAGAUAAGGUGUGAUUUGGGAGUUUGUGUGUGGUUUGAGAAUGAGAGUUGUGGGUAUAUUUAUAGGAAAGCAAGCCUCGUUAAUUCCUCGUAAGCUAAAUCGUCGUUAAUACCUCGUAUAAAAAAACACGGGCCUUUGUGAUUCCUCGCAAUUUCCUCGUAAAAAAAAACACGGGCCUUUGUAAAUGCUCGCGAUUUCGUCGUAAACUUACGAGGAAUUUGCGACGAUAUGUAAUCUUAUAUAUACACUCGAGCGCUCACUCUUUCUUUCCUCUCUACUUCCUCUCCAUUUCGUAGCAAUGGUAAGCCUCUCUGAUUCCUCUCUAAUUUGGUUAGUUUAGGAUAGAUUAGGUGGUUAGUAUAGGGAAUUUAGAUAGGUUUGCGGAUUUUAUGGUUAGUUUAGGAUAGAUUAGAUGGUUAGCAUAGGGAAUUUAGAUAGGUUUGCGGAUUUUAUGUUAUUUAGUGUUGAUUAGGUGGAUAAUGUUGGGAAAUAUAUUGUUGAUGUUAAUUUUAAAAUUUUAAUUUUUUUUCCCAGGUUCGAAAAGGAAGACUUACUGCCCAUUACAGAGAGAUCUUUGGUGAGUUGGGUAGUCGUUUAGACCCGGCCUCUUCUUCCGCUCCCGGUUCUUCGGGUCAGGAGACUGUCCCCGAGACUCAGUACCCUCAGAGAGUCUCUGGGUCUACUUCUUCUAGUGCACCAUCGGCUCCUCAUGUGCCUUCCUCGAUGGCUCAUCCGACGAUGCCUCCUUCCGUGCCUCCUCCGAUGGCACCUCCGAUGGCCGCCGAUAUUCAUCCUGAUUUGAUGGUGCCUCCGAGUGCUCCUUACUCGCAGUACACUGUAGAGGACAUUCUCAGUCUGCCAGGCAGAGAAGGUUUACCAGUCAUCGACCCAGACCGACCGGACGGAACUUUGUGGUAUGUUGCAUUAAUUUUUUUUUAAUUCGUUUAAAUUUCUUUUAUAACAUUAAAAAAUAAUUUAUAUUUUGAAUUUGUAUUUUCCAGGUGGGGGGGUUGACGGAUGUCUUGCAUCGGACGUAACCGACACGAUCAAGGGUUACUUCUCCAUGCCACAUCCAAACUGGAGUAAGACGCCUCACUACGUCAGAAAGACGUGGUUCAAAAUUUACGCUGUAAGUUUCUAUUAAUUAAUUAUAUAUACUUUAAUUUUUUCAUGAUUUAUAUAUAUACUUUCUAAAAAACUAAUUGUUAAUUUAUUUUUUCCAACAGCAAAAAUAUAAUUGGGCCUUGGGGAUCACUGAGAGGGUGAGGAAGAAGUUUAACGUGAAGGCGAAAGCUCGCUUGUUGGACACGGUCUCCAACUGGAAGGGUGACUGGAUCGUGAAGGGGUAUGAGCGUGGCAAACCCGCUGAGCUCACCACGGAUGUGUGGGAUGGCCUCAUCCGUUAUUGGCGCCUUCCUGAUUCCAUUAGAAUCGCCCAGGCUUGCUCUAACUCCCGUAACACGGUCGAUGAGCACGGAAACGGGCCGAUGCUUCACACUACGGGCCAAAAACCCCACGCCGGUGUCCGUUUGGAAAUGGUAAUUAAAUAUUUUAUUAAAUAAUUUUUUUAAUAUAUAUAUUUUAUUCUAACUUUCUUGAAUGUUUUUUAGGCCAAAGAGACGGGACAUCUCCCGUCUCUUAUGGAACUUUACGAGAGGACCCACAAGAACAAGGCGGGCGUAUUUGUAGAUGGCAAGUCCGAGCAAAUCUACAACAACGUAGUUGCUCGGGUUGAAGACCGCCAGACUCAGCUGACCAGCAGUCUACCGACGGAUUACCCGUCACCUUAUCCACACUUGAAGUGGAUAAGAUUUACGAGGAGGUAAAUUUUCAAAAAAAUUAAUUUUUUAUUAUUCAUUUAAUAUAACUUUAAAUUUUUACUUACAAUAUUUAUUUUUUGUUUUUAAGGUUGUCCCUAAAAAAAAGGGACGGGCGUUGGGGAUUGGUUCCGUCAACGAUGUUCCGAGAGCGACAUCGUCUUAUGGUCAGCGACGGGAUGAUGAAGUCACUGAGCUGCGUAGAGAGUCCGCUCAGCUGCGUAACGAGUUGACCGCGACAAAAUCUCGUAUGGGUGGAGUCGAGGGCUUCUUGGACGUUAUUGCGGCCACAAAUCCGGAAUGGGAGUCCAUGUUGAGGAACAUGCGACAACAACAUCCCAUUCAAGGUGAGUCAUCCGACGUACAUAACGAGGCGGAUGUUACGAGGAGGAGUGAUGAAUUCUACCAGACGAUGAACGACCCUUAGUUUUUUUUUCGGUUGUUGUAUUAUAUAAAUUCAAAACUUAUUUAUAUAUAAAAUAUUUUCAUAUUGAUUUAUUUUUAUUUUAAAUUUUAAUUUAUUAUUAAAUUAAAUAAUUUUAAUUAUUUUUUAAUUAUAUUUUUAAAUUCUGUAAAAUAAUAAAAACGAAGUAAAUUCGUAGCUAAUGUACGACCUCUUUACGUGGAAACCUUACGAGGAAAUGACGAGAAAUAGUAAACGAGUAUUUUACGAGGAAACAUUUACGAGAAAAUAACGAGGAAAGAUAAACGAGUAUUGUACGAGGAAAUCCUUUCGUGGUUGUUACGUGUAUUUUGCGAGGAAACGCUUUCAAGGUAUUUACGUGUAGAUUACGAGGAACUCGUUUCGAGGUAUUUACGAGGAAAUAUAGCGACGUCCUUACGUGGAAUAUUGACGUGGUCUUUAUGGCGAAAAGCUCUACUUCGUCUUUACGACGAAAUAUAUUCCUCGUUAAGUUACGACGAAUUAGCGAGGAAAUAUGUGUUACGACAGAUGAGUAACGAGCAAACGCGCUUCCUCGCUAAUUCGUCGUAAAGCCUCUUUUACGACGAACUAACGAGGAAAACCGCCCUCGUUAAGAUUAUGUUUUCUUGUAGUGAUUUCCUAAUAAUUUCUUAAAGCCUGUGAGCGUGUGACUUUAUAAUUUUAAGUGUGAAACGUAGAUGGAAUCACAAGUUACGAUCCUUUCCAUGAUUCAUACAAAUUCUACCGUGACCAAUAGGUGAUUGCAACCGAAAGUGUGCACAAGUCAGGGAAUAAUAUACCUGUUAAUGAAUAAAUCAUGAGAUAUGGAAUUUAAAUUUUAAAAUCGCUCUCUCGAUAUCCUUCUUCUACUGAGUUUGGACCUUUUUCAAUUCACGUUUUGAUUGAACACUAAGAGACACUACACAUUGUUAGGCAAAGAAGAUCAGGGAUAAAUUCUACAUCGGCUCGAUCUGAUCCAAGUUUUAGACAGUCCUUGGAACCAGACAUCAACCUUCCCCCAGUCCAGUCAAAUGCACAUUCAUGGGGUUUAGAUGGUAGGACUCUCAAUUUCCGUAGGUUAUUAUAAUUUAAUGCAAGCGUUCAAAGACCGACAUCGUCCAUGCACAUGUACCCGUGGAUGGGCUUCCAACCUAAAACCAAUUGGUGAUAAGUGGAGUGGUCCAUCCAUCUUAUAUAUUAAUAAAGAUCCUUUCCAAUAUCCGAUAUGAGACAUUAUCCCUAAUACGCUCUUUCGAAAUGAUGACUCUUUCUCGGAAUGUUCGGGCAAUGAUCGAUGGACCGACUUUGGGCUGGAUCGAUAAUGGAUUGGAUUGGACUGCAUGUAUCGGGCUCUGAUACCAUGUUAAGGUAGAUGGGCUUCCAAUCUAAAACCAAUUGGUGAUAAGUGGAGUGGUCCAUCCAUCUUAUAUAUUACUAAGGAUCUCUUCCAAUAUCCGAUAUGGGACAUUUAUCCCUAAUAUCCCAUUAGUGCCUACAAAUAAACAAAUUGUUAUAAAUUAAUGGGAGAAAGAGAUUAUCUAUCUCUCAUCAUUAUGGAGCCCUUUAUAUAUAUAGGGAAUUACAAUAGACCGUCAUAGAUAAAUGGAAAGUAUACAAAUCCUAAAGUGAUUAGGAAAAGGAAAUCCUAAGCUUACAAAGAAAAGGAAACUGUCUAAGUAGAAAGGAAAUAUGCCUAUUUGGUUAUGGCAUUCACAAAUCAGUUCAUAACACUCCCCCUUGAAUGUUAUAACCAUAAGAGCUCGUAAUACGCUUUGGAUGUUGCCUCAUUAAAACCUUUCCAGGAAAAUCCAGUGGGACAAAACCUUGGAUAAGGAAAAAGAGCACAACACGUAUUACUCCCCCUGAUUUGAACCUCACUGAAAGGUUGAUGUUGGAAGUAACUUGAUGAAUAGAUCUUCUGAACUGUCACUUGAAUGAACAUGAAGUACUUGGACCCCUCUCGUCUUUUAGAACUCGUUGGUGAAGAAAAAUUGGGUAGAAUAUGUUACUUAGCCGUCGAUCAUCCUAUACUCUGAUCGAUGGACCUUGACUACACGCACCUACGGCUUGCCCCAUGAUAGUUGGUUUUUCUUUACCAUCGGCCACAAUCUGAUCUAACAUAUUGAGUUAUGGACCUCUAACCCUGCGGCCAAAUAUACUCACGAAUUUCUUGGCUAAUGUUGCUGCGAUGGUUUGUUUCAAAACCUGUCUGAGAUCUGAUAGAUAACAUGUAUCAGCAAAACCAAUUAACCCUUCUUUGGGCUGAUUAGUAUAAAAUAAAUCAAAAUAUAUGUCUAAUCCCGUCUCAGUGCCUUUAGGUCAGAUAUGAGCUAAGUUUAGAUAGUAAAUACAUGAAAAACAUGUAUCUGGCCUAGUGUAGCUUGCCAGAUACAUCAAAACUCCUAUGGCACUAAGAUAUGGCAUUUCGGGACCAAGAACUUCUUCAUCCUCUCUCAUUGGACCAUGCACACGAAUUUGUUCUUUAUCAAAUCUCUUGAGUACCUUUUCUGUAUAUGCCAUUUAAUGCACAAGGAUUUCAUUAUUAAUGUACUCAAACUGUAAACCCAAACACAAUUUCGUUUUGCCUAGUUUUUCAUCUCAAAUCUUUCUUAAGAUAUUCAGCUGUUUGGGACAUGUAUCCAGAGGUUCAGAUUAUCAACAUACACUGAUAUUUUCGAAUUUUUUUAUGCAAUGUUGUUUUCGAGAACUUGUUUUAUCUUUGAGCUCAAUAACCUCUGGUACUUCUAUCUUUUUAUCCAGUGGACCAUCUAAUUUCCUUUCUUAUAUAUAUAGCCAGACUUAUUAGGAAUCUAAAAGUAUUUGUAUCCACCACAGGGGAGUAUAUUUCCUCAUAACAUAUUCCUGGUCUAUUGUGAGAAUCCUUGUGCAAUAAGCAAUGCUUUAUAUCUCACGAUUUCUCAUAUUCAUUUAUCAUUUCUCUUACUCACAAAGACCCAUUUAUAUCCACUGGUUUAUAUCAUAUGGUGUCUAUAUUAUAUGACCAAAUACGCCUCUCUUCUUUAAAUAGUCUAACUCCACGUUUCCAUUUAAUCCAAUCUGAUCUUACGAGUGCACACUCUUAUAUUGACGUGGGUUCGUGAUCCUCGUUUAUAUCCAUUAGUUCAAGUGUUACCUUGUGUAUAAAUAUAUCAUCUAUGUGUCGACAUUCUUAUGUGCUCCAUUAUGUUCCAGACAUGAUAUAAUCGAUUACAAACUCAUUAUUAUCAUGACCAUUAGUACCCUGAAGCUUGGCGUCCCAAGCCUCAGUGUUUGGUACCUUUGAGCCGGCCGGCUUUGUUUUCAUGUCUAGGAUGGUUUCCUCGACCUCAGAUUUGUUUAUCAUUCUCUGCACAUUUCUUUUGUUUCCGAGGAUUCUUAUCUUUGGAACCUAUCGUUCUACCACGUUUCAAACAUUGUCUAGACUCUGUAGCAACUUGAUUAUGUCCUUCUUGGACUUCAUUUCGAAUUGGUGCAUUAUAAGCUGGUAUAUAGACUUAGUCACUCUCUUUCGGGUCAGCAAAAGAAUCUGGCAAUUGAUUAGCUAUCUUUUGUAAAUGUAUUAUCUUUUGGACGUCUAAUUCACAUUCUUUAGUCCGAGGAUCUUGCCAAGACAAUGAUGUUGAUUCCAUGUAAUCUCUUUUACUCUUUUACCAGCUUAUUACUUUCUCCCCCUAAUCCGUAUACCUGGCCUCAACCUGAUCACCCAUAUUUGGCUCAAGGUACUUAAUAAUCGUGGGAGAAUCAUAUCCAACAUAUAUUCUCAUUCUCCUUUGAGGCUCCAUCUUAGUUCUCUGUGGUGGAGUAAUUUGUAUAUAGACGGCACAUACAAAUGUCUUACGAUGGGAUAUGCCUGGCUCUUGACCCGUUAUUUAAUCGAUGGGGAAUAUUUAUGCUCACUAAAUGGCAUGAUGCAUAUUAACUUAGAUGCAUGUAAAUUUCGUGUGGCCCAAGCUGUGACUGGGGGUUUUGACCUCAUAAAUAAUGGUCUAGCAAUCUGUUGUAUGCAUUUAAUAAAAGAUUUCGGCCAAGUCGUUCUUGGUAUGGACAUGUAUCACGGAAUUGUCCACACUUACCCUCAUGGACAUACCAUAAUCAUUUAAAUGCUUGAGACAUGUAUUUACCAGUUUAUUAUUUACUUAGUCUCUUUGACUGGUGAUGGCCUAUCAAUGAGUUUCCCUUGUGUACAUGCUACACACGUGAGAUUCUUUGGGAUAACUCUUUCUUCCUUUCAAUGUGUGCCCAUUUGUAUAUCAAUUUUGCAUUAUGUUUGAACCAGGAUGGCCAAUCUGGUUAUGCCAUAAAGUGAAUAUUUUUCGCAGGCAUUUAGCCUCUAUCAUCCUGAUCUUGACAUAGUAAAAACCAGUAGAGAAUGCAGGUAUAGUCUCGGCCAUUUUCUAUGGCUUGGACAAAUUUUAUAUAUCUAAAAGGAACUUUUUAUUUCCUUUUCCCAUUGUUUCAAUAUGGAAACCACUCUUAUAUCUUUUAAACUCAAUGAGCUUCUAUGAGUGAAUAUAAAUCAUUAGAUCUCUUUAGUCUGGUCGUAGCCUAUCAUGAGAAUGACUAUACCCGCAACUAUAUUUCUUAUAAACUUAUAUAUUUGAAAAUCAUUCAUUCCUUUUAUUAAGUUCAGAGCAAACAAAGCAAUAAAAUAAAUUCAAAGUGAUAAAACAAAGCAAGUAUAAAAGCCAAACAAACACAGAAGUCGAAAUCAACAUUAUUCUUUUAGGCAAUCAGAAGUUUCAUAUUCCGUAGGAUCAUCUCUUUCAUGAUCAAAAAUCAUCUUUACCAUCUUUAUAUACCAAGUGGGCUUCAAGAUUCUUCCCUUUCAGACUCUCUUGAUAGAGGUCACAAAGAUGUUUGGGAGUCCUACAUAUCUUAGCCCAGUGGUUCCCCAUUCCACAUCUAUGACAUACUGAUUUGGUUGAGCUUUGUGGUUUAAAGGGUAUACUACGGUCUCUGCCUCGACCAUGGCUAAAAUUAGGUUGAUACCCAGGGCCUUUGCCAUAGUGGUUCCCACGGCCAAAUGUAUAAUAGUGGCCAUGGCCACGUCCUUUCUACCCUCCACGGCCAUGGCCGUGUGAUCUAUCAUCCUGGACGUGGUUAGAUUCUUUGGAUUCUUUCUUUUCCUUUGCGGCCUUAUUGGCUUCAGGUAAUGGAUUGUCCAGGAGGUCUCAAUUCAUUGUUUCUUAUUAGCUAGCAAUAGACUCAUCCACAGACUUGUAGUCCUGGAUUCUGAGAUUCUUCCAUAGCCUUUGGUAAUAACACCUUUCUUUGGUGAUCAUAUCUCGAUUUGAAUUCUGUCCAAAGGUCUAGAGGAUUCUCAAUUGUCAAAUACUGAUCUUUGAGACUCUCAAUAAGAUGAUGACGAAUAAUUAAUAUUGCCAUGUAUCAAUCUUUCUCAUUUAUUGUCUUCUAUGAUACAUUGACCAAGUCUUUUUGACUUUAGGAUAAUCUUUGUAUCCAAUGCCCACCGUAAAUAAUUAUCUCCAGAGAGAUUUAGGGCAGCAAAAUCCAGGUUGAUUUUCGACAUCUCAAAUCAUAUAUCACUCAAUAUUUAGGCAUUUAAUCAAUCAGUCAAUUUCUAGCAAGUCUCAGCAAUACUAUUUCUAUGUGCUCAUAAUAUUAUGCUUUAUCAAGACUAGCAAAAACGGAUUCAAUUAAUCAUGCAAUUAGGGUUUAACAAUCAAUGGAUUUUAGCAAGACUAGUAAAAAGAUUCAUUAAUCACUCAAUCAGUUUCAAAGCUGAUUUUAGCAAUACUAGAAUUUAGAUUUCAAGCAUGAAUUUCAAUGAAUCAGUUUCAAGGCUGAUUGAUAUUUAGCAUAAACCGUGUGUAAAUAAUCUAUCUAGUAUCCGAAUUUAUCAAACCUCAAAAACAUAUAAUCAGAUCAAUCAAUUUAAUAGAACUCAUAAGCAUAAUGAAUUUAGGGUUUCAAGUUUCAGAUAUGCGGAUUAAGGUUAGGACUAGAAUUAGGGUUUCAUGAUUUCUAAUCAGAUCAAUCAAUAAAAUCGAACCUAGCAUACAAUCUUAAACCUCAAGACAUUAGAUUUUAUCAUGAAUCUAUCAACCUAGCAUACAGAUUCUCUAUUCUCAAAGAUAUCCAAAUCAGAUCAAUAUAACCUAUCAUACGGAUUAUUUAGGGUUUCUAUUUAAAACAGAUCAGAUUACAAAACUAUCAAUCCUAGCAGAUGAUAUUAAACCUCAAGAAUCAUGCAAUCAGAUCAUUCGGAUUUUAAACAAGUAAACCUCAAUCAAUCUAUCAACCUAUCGGAUUCAAUCAAUGUUUUAAUAGGCUGGUCGGUUUAAACAAUUUUAAAUCAGAUGAACAAUUAACAAGCAGGAUGAGAAAAUAAAUCUAUCAAUCCUAACUGUGAUUAAAGCAUUAAUAAAAACAAGCAGGUCGGAUUUAAUCAAGACUUAAACAUAUCAGAAUUAUUAAACUAGCAGGAUAAGAAUAAUAAAUCUAGCAACUUAACGGUCAAACAAAUCUAGCAACAUAGCAUCAGAUUCAAUCAGAUUUAAAACCUCAAUGAUCAAAACCAAAAACAGUUUUGAUUUCAAAAAUAUUCGAUUAGAGUUUUAAUAUGUGAUUUGAUAAUUAUAGUAUAAUUAAUUCUGAUACUUAUAUUAUUUAGGGUUUAUAGAUAUAUGGUUAGGGUUUAUCGGAUUUUAACUUGUAAAAUCCGAUUUGGGGUUUUAAUCAUGUAGGAACAUGAUUUAAGGUUUAUCGGAUUAUUAGAAUCCGAUUUGGAGUUUUAAGGUUUUAGGGUUUAGAUGUUUACCUUAACCUCCAAACGGGUUGAACGGACCACCGAGAAUCGAGAAGAACUUCGCGAGCUGGUACGUGCCGGAUCGGAUUGUCGGGUCGCGAAGAGCAGUCGGGAUCGUCAGUCGGAUCAUCUAUCGGAUGCGCUAUCGGGAUCGCCUGGUCGUCGGUACGUCAGGAUGCGAACAUAUCGUCUAGUCGGGUACUUAUCGGAUCGUCGGAUCGACUGAGCUUCUAUCAGGUCGUCGGAUUGACUGGUCGUAUCAGAUGGCUUUAUCGGAUGAGAGGGUAACCGCCGAGAGAGAAAGAAAAAUUUAGAGUUUAUGAUGAUCAAAGUAUCAAAACGAGAAAGAAAAGGAAAAUAGGGUUUCUGGUCGAUUUUAGAACUCAGGGAAUUAGGGAGCUUCGUGCUGAUAACGUGUUAUAAAUUAUUGGGAGAAAGUUAUUGUCUAUCUCUCAUCAUUAUGGAGUCCUUUAUAUAUAUAGGGAAUUACAAUAGACCGUCAUAGAUAAAUGGAAAAUAUACAAAUCUUAAAGUGAUCAGGAAAAUGAAAUCCUAAGCAUACAAAGAAAAAAAAAUGUCUAAGCAGAAAGAAAAUAUGCCUAUUUGGUUAUGACAUUCACAAAUCGGUUCAUAAAUAUUAUAAAUAAAGUACCCAUAUCUUACUUAUAUUUACAUAUAUCACUACGUGAAAAGAAGGCAUUAAAUUGUGAAACAGAAAAUUAAUUUUGUCUUCAGUUUUUUUUCCCGGGCAUGGAUGUUAUCCAUCGCUCUAUUGCAUAUAACGUGGAGAGUACAAGUAAAUAUUCUAAUAUAGGAAAGCAAAUCAGUGUGUAAAUAUUUGAAUAGCUUAAGAAAAUUGAUAACACAAAUUUUGUCUUGACGACAAAGUAACAUUUCCAAUAUAGGAUAAGUAAAUAGAGAAAAAGACAAAAAUAGCACUAAAUCAAAUUUUUGUUCCCAAACUAGCACUCAAGAUCAAAAGUCACAAAAAUAGCACUUAAUGUUUUAUCAAAAGUUACAAACUUAGGGUUUAGAGUUAAAAGGUGGGGUUUAGGAUUUAGGGUUUAAAGUUUAGGGUUUAGGGUUUAGAGUUUAGGUUUUAGAGUUUAGGGUUUAGGGUUUAGGGUUUAGAGUUUAUGGUUUAGGGUUUAGAGUUUAGGGUUUAGGGUUUAGAGUUGAGAAAUGAGGUUUUGGAGAUAAGAUUUCAAAUUUUGAAAAAUAAAAAAAUUAAAAUUUUUAAAGGAUAAACUUAGAAAGGUGCUAGUUUGGUCAUUUUAGUUUUGGAGUGUUAUUUUUAUGAUAUAAACUUAGAAAUGUGCUAUUUUGGAGAUUUGCCCAA